CAUUUUAAGCUUUUUAAUUUAUCAUGUCGGAAACAAUAUUCUGCAUAAUCCAGAUAUAUGUAUGUGUAAAGUAAAGUGUGCAGAGUGUGUACCUGAAUCGUGGAGUGGUGUAGUCGGAGUGUAUUUGGCAUGUUGUGGGAUCUCCCCCAUACUUGUUUUCUGCUUUCUUGCACAAAAAUAAAGUAGAGACACACAAGACAUAAUAAUAAUAAUAAUACUCUUUAUUAAUCUUGAGGCAUUUAUUACAAAAGACUAGUAGUAAACUGAUAGCAAACUGAUGAUAAUAGUAAACCUAAACCAAAUUUAAAGAUAGAUAACUAAGAUGCAUUUGCCUCAAGGUCUAAUCUAGAUAACUUAGCGGCGCUCUAAUUCCUUAAUCUUCUUAUUGGCACUGGCAAGAUCCUGCCUAAGGCCUAGUAUAACAGUGUUGUGGUUAGAGAGCUGCCUAGUGAAGGAAUUAAUCGAGGACUGAAGGUCUAUGAUAACUCUGUCUAGUCUGCGAAUGUCCUCAUCAAUAUCCAUUAUAGUUUUACGACGCUUGGGAGGUGUCUCAAAAGCAUUGAGAGCGUGCUUUGGGGCUGCCUUUGGCGGGAUGAAACAGACUUUGGCUGCUCUAAUCCCUUCGAAGUAAGGCCUCUCCUCCUCCGUAGUGUAGCGAAUACUUCUGAUCUCACCGCUCCGGAUGGUCUUGACUCCAACGACCUUCUCAUUGGGUCUAGGUGGAAGGAUCCUUGUGCCGGUUGGCACCUUGAUGGUGGUCUUCGUCUUGGAUGAUGAUUCCUUGAGGAGUAGGGGUUGUGGCGGUGCGGUGAGAACUGGUUGAGCAUGAUAAGAUUGGGUGGAGCUGCGUUGGCGUAAUGGCAUGGCUUCUAGCUGUCGCUCUGUGUUGGCCGGGACGAGAGCACGGGCAUCGGGGUCUUCCACAGGCUCCAUGUUGAGGUUGAAGGGGACGACUUCCCAAUCAUCGUGGAACUUCUCGGCCAUUGGAGCAGCAAGGAACUAAUCAAGCUCUAAUUGAAGAAGAAGAGAAGGCUUGAUAGGUUGGUGUUUGAAAACUGAUGUCAGGGGUCUGUUUAUAUAGGGGUCAAAAACUGCCUCUAUGGGUUGUUCAGGUUGCUCCCGUCGAUGUGCGUGCGAAACUUUCCAUCUAAGGGGUUAUUCGGAUUAUCAUAAGUGCAUUUUCCAUAACAGAGAAAAUCGGGACCGAGGGGGAACAGGAGCUGGGCGCCCGCCCACCUGAUCUGGGCGCCCGCCCUCUCUCUGGCCCCUCUGUGGGCCCACUUUCUCGAGCGUGUUUCUAGAUGUAAAACUAUUUACAAAAAUAUAUAUAUGACCCAAAAACAUCAGACUAAAAAGGUCGGGCUCUAAUUCUCCAUGGGAAGGUAAAGAUGGACUACGUAUAUUUCUUCUAAUUCUUUAUUGGGUUCUAAAAAUAAUUUAAGACGUUGGCCAUUUACCUUGAAUAACGUACCUUCGUCAUUCUAUAGUGUGAUAGCUCCGUGGGAUGAUGAAUUAAUUACCUUGAAUGGUCCUUCCCAUUUGCUCCGGAGUUUUCCAUGCCCGAAAAGCUUCACCCUGGAAUUAAAAAGUAAUACCUUGUCUCCGGGUGUGAACUCCUUCUUGAUUCUCUUGUCAUGCCACCUUUUGACUCUUUCCUUGUAGAUCUUCGAAUUAUGAUAUGCUUUCUCUCGCCAUUCUUCCAAUUCUGAUAAUUGCAUUCUUCUAUAGUCUUCAGCAACAUCUAGGUCCAUAUUCCAUCUCUUUAUGGCCCAGUGUGCUUUGAAUUCUAGUUCAACAGGUAGAUGGCGAGUCUUCCCGUACACCAAUUGGUAUGGAGACAUUCCAAUUGGGGUCUUGUAUGUUGUCCGGUAUGCCCAGAGUGCAUCGGGUAACUUGUCUUUCCAUGCCGUUCCCAUUUCAUUUACUGUCUUCUGAAGAAUAUUCUUGAUUUGCUUGUUGGAAGUCUCUGCUUGGCCACUUGUCUGAGGAUGAUAGGGAGUAGCGACGUUGUGAUGGAUUCCAUGUUUUGAUAGAUAUUGCUUGAAGCGUUUGGCGAUGAAGUGUGCUCCUCCAUCACUUAUCACUACUCUGGGGACUCCAAAUCUUGGAAAUAUAAUUUCUUCAAACAUCCUCUUUGAACUGAUAUUGUCGGCAUGCUUGCAAGGUAAUGCCUCUACCCAUUUGGAGACAUAGUCAACUGCCACCAAGAUGUACUCGCACUUCUUUGAUGGAGGAAAUGGUCCCAUGUAGUCUCUUCCCCAUACAUCAAAGAGCUCAAUCUGAAGGUUGUUGGUGAGUGGCAUUGCAUCCCUUGUAUUUAUGUUUCCGUGUCUUUGACAUGGCCCACAUCUUCUGAUAUAUUGCUUCAUAUCUUCAUACAUUGUAGGCCAGUAGAAUCUACACUGCCAGAUCUUUGAGUGUGUACGGAAUGCUCCAUAGUGACCUCCAUAUGGUGAUGAAUGGCAUCUGUCGAUGAUCUUCUAUCCUUCCUCAGUGGUCACACACCUCCUGAGUAAGCCAUCGGAGCAUACUAGGAAGAGGUAUGUCUCAUCCCAUAUAUGUGAACGACUUUCUUGAAUAAGCUUCUUCUUGUUUGCUCCUGGUGGUACAUACCAUGAAACCAUAAAAUUAACAAUAUCUGCAUACCAGGGGUCAGACCUGUUAAUCCCGUAGAGCAUGUCGUCCCAGAGUGAAUCAUUGAUGGGGGGUUUCCUGUGGACUCUUAAAUUACAUUAUAGACAAGUGAUCAGCUAUAGAAUUUUCUACUCCCUUUUUAUCUUUUAUUUCUAAGUCAAAUUCUUGGAGUAAUAAGAUCCAUCUAAUCAAGCGAGGUUUAGCAUCUUUCUUAAUGAGCAAAUAUUUUAGUGCCGCAUGAUCAGUGUAAACAAUUAUUUUAGCUCCAACUAAAUAAGAUCUAAAUUUAUCAAUGGCAAAGACAACAGCCAGAAGCUCUUUUUCAGUGGUUGCAUAGUUAAGUUGAGCUCCUGUCAAAGUGUUACUGGCAUAAGCAAUUGCAUGAUGCUUCUUAUUUUUAGUUUGUCCCAAUACUGCCCCCACAGCAUAAUCACUGGCAUCACACAUAAUUUCAAAGGGUAAUUGUUGACGGUCCUUAAGUAUCAAAUUUAAUUAACAAAUAAAUAAAGAAAAGGAUCCAAAUGAAAUCAACAUCUAGACUUAGGGUUUUAUCUGACAGAAUUCCACGAGUUUUGGUGUUUGUCUAUUGCUGCAGGGGGUUAUCAGGAAAUACGGAAGAAAGGCCCACAUGUCGGGAUUACGUAAAGAUAUUAACGUGCCGCGCAAUUAUCUUACAUCUAGAAGACUCCAGAAGCCACGAGACCGAAUCGGAGGCGAAACGGGGCCAGACCCUGGGCGCCCGCCCAGUUGGUCAGGGCGCCCGCCCUGCCUCUGAGUCCAAUCAGGACUCUGCUUCGUGGGAGAUCUCCACCGACCUAAAGGAUGAAUCUAAACCAUACAAUCUAUGUCGGUUUGAUCCAAUGGCCCAUAUUCACUUGAAGGGACUAUAAAACCAGACCCCCUGGCCCCUGGAGGAGGGAGCCUCUCAACCCUAAUUCAUUGUUCUUCAAGGGAGAAGAAGCCCCUGAUCAAGAUUAGAGCCACCACAUCAAUUAGAUAUCUAGAUUAGCAUAGCUACAUAGGAUUAGAACUAGAAGGAGUCAAUCUUCGAUUAGUUUCCGGAUCUGUCAAGAGGAUUCUUGGUAAUUCUCUAAUUGUGCUUCUAAUUGCUUUCUAAUUAUCUUUCUUCUUCAAUAUUAUGAAUAUGACUUUGUUCUACUUCAAUAUAUUGCUUAUGACUUUGCUCUACUUGCUUAUAUUCAAGAUUAUAUUGUUCUUAGUUUAUCAUAGUUAUGUACUUGGCUUAGUUAGAUUGGAUCUAUAUACAUGAUUAGGAUCGUAUAGCGUUUAUCCAUCGGAUCCAUGGGUAAAUGAUAGAUAUUGUGUAGGCGUGGUGCUUAUACCAUAUUUAUCUGCGAUUGUACCCAAUAUGCCAGAUCGUGGGGUAGUUCGUGAUAGUGACAGCUUCAUUGAUUCUUAUAUAGUCCCCCUCUCGUGUAUUGGGCUGGCAGAGCAACAUUAUUACAGGGGAGUGAUUGCUAUGUUUCUCAUAUUCCUUGCUAAUAUCACUAUGCAUGGGCGUAGUCUUGUCUCGCAAUGAUUGCUAAGUAUGCUUGCACUAACUAUGAUAAUGCUAGACUAUAUAGUUGAGAAUAACUUAGGGAAUAUUCUUGUAGUUCGUUCUAAUACCAUGCUAAUGACUUUCUAGAGUAUCUAAUUGAGGUGCUUAUCAUAUUUAUUAUGUGGCUAGAUCAGAUUAGUUAUCCUUGUCACUAUUAUUAUUUCAUAUAUCUUUUAUGUGACACUUAUCCCUGUAUGAUGUGUCGACCGGUGCACAGUGUAUGUAUCACUGGCACCGGGGAUGGAAAAUCCUGCGGGAGAGGACCCGCCAGAGGAGGACGCUGCUCGGUGUACUCAUUACACCAGCAGUGAAGAGGACCAAGCCCGCCCCAUCCCGACCUCCGAGGAGAGGGUAGCGGGGAAGAGGCCAUUGCCAGCAGAUCCUUUGCCGGCGGAUGUUCCGGCGGAGAGCAGCCAAGCACCGAAGCGUCGUCGGCUCGUGCGGAUCGUUGACGACGACGACGACGACGAGGAGGCUGCGCCGUCGUUGGUCCGACGGCCCCGGGGUCGCCCAGAUAAUGCGCCGGCCGCUACUGAUCGAGUGGCCGGCGAUGCCCCUGCACCGCAAGUUGUCGAGACGGGGGCGCAGGUGCCGGCCGGCCGGGUGAGGAGGAGGUUCACCGCCACCCACCGUCGAUCAGACCUGUAAGUGUUCGACUUACGUAUUUUUGGACUCCUCUUUGAUUUUUUUUUUUGAAAUUUGACUUUUGUUCCUGUAGUGCGGCGUCGGAUGUCGACCCUGGCCAGGUUGCCAGCCAAGGGAUGGGCGAGCCUGCCCGCGGUUCUGGGGAUGCGGCCCCCCAGACCACAGAGCAGCCAACAGUUGCAGUCGCGCCUGGGAGCACCGAGGGGCUCCCGAGCGCAGCACCGACUACGACAAGAAGCCCGACCAGGGCUGGAGAGGCUCCCCCAACUGACUCCUCAGAGAAGGGAAGAUCUCCGACCGCUCCUCCUGCCGGGGGGAGUGAAGUCCCCACGCCGCCCCGAGCAGGAGCCUCCUCUGCUGCGGGCUCCCCAGGUCUGGUCCAAGGGCCAGUAAUACCUGGGACCACCACCGGGGGUGACGCAGCACAGGAGGAGGAAACCCGGGCGGCCUCCGAUGAUGAGGUGGAAGAGAUCGAGGGUCGUCCCCGUGAUGGCCGCCAACACGUGUAUGUGUGGCGCCAACGCGGGGAUCACUUCAUCGGGCAUGAGGAGCUCGCCGAGACCGAAGAGGCUGCCAGGGUGGAGCGCGCGGCCAAGCGCCUCGUCGACGAAGUCAAGGUAAGCGGCUUUUUGCACUGCUGCACAUUCUUUUGCCUUGUCUUGCAUGGUCGUUAUAUGCUUGCUUUGUAGGACGCAAUGAAAACGGCAAAGUACCGGAAACGGUGCUUUGACCAGAUAGAAGGCGUCAUGGCCGAGAACAAGGCCCUUGCCGCGGAGGUAGACCGGUUGCGGGCGGAGGUCGGGGAGAAGGUGGUCGAGAUGAGUGCCGAAAAGGAGCGUCGUCUCGACCUCGCUCGUCGUUUGGCCGACCAGUACCGGCUGCAAGAAGGUUAGUCACACGCUCCGAGCAGCUUCGCGUACUUGUAUAGUUUGCUUUGCUGACCAGUUUAGGAUUCACGCAGACUUGGAGGAGGAGGUGGCGAGCCUCCAACAAGAGAAGGAGCAGCUCAGCCAACAGCUCGCCGGUGCGCUGGAGUCCGGGCGGCGAGCAGAAGAGGAAUUGGGUCGAAAAGACCGGGAGCUAUCUGGUAAUGGGUGCCGCCUUGUUGGUUGCUGCCUGCCCCUUUGUUUGUUUGGUAUGCCGAAAAUAACGCUUCGUUUUGUUUGCAGUGCUCAAGGUUAACGCCAAAAGGCACCUGGAUGAUCUGAUCAAGGACCGGGACUCCUGGAAGGCCAACUGUUGCAGGAUCUGGAAAGGAGUGUCCCCGGUCCUAGACCUGAUCAGUCCCGAGCUCCCGGAGAGCCAGCCCCGCGCGCCGCAGUUGACCCCGGUCGAGAAGGCGCAACGGGCGUGGGACUGGCUCCAGCAGUUUGUGAAGGACGCCGGGGAGUUUGCCGGGGCGCACGUCCUCAGCAUGGUGCGCGCCCACUACCCCCUGGUCGACUUGAGCAGGCUGGAGGAGGGGUACCCAAAGGAAGUCGGCCCACAGGAAGCGGACGAACUUCGGGGUAGUCUGCUGGACUUGUCGUCGACAGUGAUCGGCGACAUCAAUCUGUGCGGAACGGCCACUCCUCCAGACCAGCCGAGCUCAGAUAGGUCGGCCAGGGAGUUGUCGGGCGCGUCCGUUGCUGGAGAUGGGCGGUCGACGCCUGCGGUCUCGACCAGCCAGGCGCCGGUGGCCCCGACCCCUUCGUCCGGGCAGCAGGGCCAGGCGGGUGAUCAGCCCGAGGAGCUAGGCCAAUAAAGUAGUCUAUAGGAAUAGACUAGUAUCUGCCCGUCAGGGUAUUUACUGUAAACUUUGUAUGUAAAGUUUGUAAUAAAGUUUUCUUUUUGUCAUGACUGUUGUUUUGAGCGCUGUAAAAAUAUCUGAGUGACGUGUCACCGUAUUUGUCUUGGUUGUCGCCAAGAGCAUCCAUUGCAGGAGUUUUGCCGAGUGCUGUGUAUGACAAGGUAUAGGCGAAAAAUAGAGAAUUUCAUUAUCAAAAACUAUAAGAUACUUACAAAAGAAAGUCAUUAAAACUUUAUGGAUAGAAACGUCGCAGUUUGUCGAUGUGCCAAGAGUUAGGCACUCAUGUUCCGUCUGGGUAUGCCAAUCUGUAGGACGUAGGUCGUGUGACCUCGGUCACCACGAAGGGUCCUUCCCAGGGAGUGGAUAACUUGUGCAUUCCCUCCUGGCUUGUUUUCCAUCGAAGCACCAGAUCGCCGACCACGAAGGAACGGUCCUUGACGUUCCUGUUGUAGUAUCGCCUUACUGCCGCGAGAUAUUUUGCUGUUCGGAGACAUGAAACUAAACGCUUUUCCUCCAUGCAAUUGAUUUCGAGUUCUCUGGCGUUGUCGGCAGUCGCCUGGUCGAAGUGCUCGAUUCUAGGAGAUCCGAAGUGUAUGUCAGACGGCAGGACCGCCUCUGCACCGUAUACCAUGAAGUAGGGAGACACCCCUGUGUUUCGACUGGUCUGGGUUCGGAGGCCCCAGACUACUGCCGGCAAUUCUCUCAUCCAUCGACCGGGUGCUCUGUCGUUUUCGGUGUACAGCCUCUUCUUUAGGGCGUCAACGAUCAUUCCGUUAGCACGUUCGACUUGACCGUUGGCACGUGGAUGUGCCACUGACACAUAUUUUAUGACUAUGCCUCUGUCAUCGCAGAAAUCCCAAAAAGUGGUGCCAGUAAACUGAGUGCCCAGGUCGGUGAUUAUGCUGUUCGGGAUGCCGAAUCUGUGUAUGAUUUGAUUGAGAAACUCCACAGCCUUCUCGGAGGUUGCCUUGACCAGGGGCAUGUAUUCAAUCCACUUGGAGAACUUGUCGAUUAGCACGAAGACAAACUUGAAAUUGCCCGGGGCUGGUUUAAAUGGUCCGAUCAUGUCAAGCCCCCAGCAAGCAAAGGGCCAAGACGACGGGAUAGUUUGAAUUUCAUGGGCAGGUACGUGGGUCCUCUUAGCGAAAAACUGACAUCCUUCGCAAUGCCGAACCAGUUUUUCUGCGUCGCCGACCGCGGUUGGCCAAUAAAAACCUGCUCGGAAAGCCUUUCCGACCAGCGUUCUAGAUGCGGCGUGAUUGCCGCAGGAUCCAGCGUGUAUGUCCUCCAAGAGCUUGAUACCAUCAUCUUGGGGUAUGCACUUGAGCAGUACUUCGGAGCUUGCGUUUUUCCGCAUGAGUUUUCCGUCGACCAGGAUGUAUUUCUUUGAUCGUAUUUGAUGAACGGGGUACGCCAGUCACGCCCACCGGUUGUCGGAGUGGCGUCAUCUUUGAGCAUUGCCUCGGUGGGUUGCUUGUCGACCAGGGGAGGGCUUACGCUUGGCUCAUGGAUGUCCUGGACAAAAAUACCCCACGGGAUUUGGGCCCGAGAUGAGCCUAACUUUGACAACGCAUCUGCUGCUUGGUUCUUAUCCCGGACCACGUGGAUGUACUCUAUGCCAUAGAAGUUAGUUUCCCAUUUGCGAAUUUCUUUGCAGUAGAGAUCCAUCUUCUCGUGGGUUGCGUCCCACUCCUUGUUGAGCUGGUUGAUGACCAAAGCGGAGUCGCCGUAGACAUAGAGGCGCUUGACCCCCAGUUCAACGGCUAGUCGUAUGCCAUGUAAGCAUGCUUCGUAUUCGGCGACGUUGUUUGACGCCGGAAAAAGGAUCCUAAGGAUGUAGCGGAGUUUGUCCUUGUUGGGUGAUACGAACAAUAUCCCAGUGCCUGCACCGUUGAUGUUCAAGGACCCAUCAAAGAACAUUGACCAGUGGUCUGAGACAUCGGGAACGGAAGGCUCGUUGAGAUCCGUCCAUUCGGCAAUGAAAUCGACCAGGGCUUGGGACUUGACAGUGGUGCGACUCUGGAACUCCAGGGAAAAUGGACAUAAUUCCAUUGCCCAUUUAACGAUUCUGCCAUUGGCGUCUUUAUUGCGCAGGAUGUCCCCGAGAGGAAAGCUGGUUGUCACCAGGACUCGAUGGCCGUCGAAGUAGUGCUUCAGCUUUCUUGAUGUUAUCAGGAUGGCGUAUAUAAGCUUCUGUAUUUGUGGGUACCUGGCCUUGGACUCGUUUAAGACUUCGCUUAUGAAGUAAACGGGUCUCUGGACCUUGAAGACGUGACCUGGUUCAUCUCGCUCGACCACUAUUGCCGUGGAAACAACCCUGUCGGUUGCAGCAAUGUAAAGGAGUAGGUCUUCAUUGGGCUGAGGCGCUGUGAGGACAGGUGGUGAAGUGAGGAAGGUCUUAAGCUGAGUGAACGCAGCGUCGGCUUCCUCUGUCCAAGAAAAUUUUUCUGACGCUUUCAAUAGUUUGAAGAAAGGGAGGCCUUUUUCUCCCAGCCUUGAGAUGAAACGACUGAGGGCGGCCAUGCAUCCGGUUAGCUUCUGAAUAUCCUUGACAUUCUUCGGUGGUCGCAUGUCGAGUACGGCUUUGACUUUUGAAGGGUUUGGUCGUAUGCCGUCGCGACUGACGACGUUGCCGAGCAGUAAACCGGAAGGAACGCCGAAAAUGCAUUUCUUGGGGUUGAGCUUCCACUUGUACCUAUUGAGUGCCUUGAAGGUUCGGUCUAAGUUGUCGAUUAGGGUGCUCGCGUCCCUUGUUUUUACGACCACGUCGUCCACAUAGGCCUCGACGAGGUCAUCGCGAAUCUCGUCGUGGAGGCAUUGCUGGAUGGCCCUUUGAUAAGUGGCCCCGGCGUUUUUAAGCCCGAAAGACAUGGUAGUGUAGCAGUAUGCGCCGAAGGGUGUGAUGAAGGAUGUUUUGAUCUGAUCUUCUUCCUUUAGCGAGAUCUGGUGAUAACCAGAGUAGCAAUCUAGAAAGGAGAGGAGUUCGCAUCCGGCCGUUGAGUCGACCACCUCGUCGAUGCGAGGAAGACCAAAAGGAUCUUUAGGACAGUGUUUGUUGAGAUCGGUGUAAUCAACGCACAUUCUCCAUUCAUUAUUCUUUUUGCGUACAAGAACCGGAUUGGCGAGCCAAUCGGGGUGAUACACUUCUUUUAUGAAUCCGGCUGCUAGAAGCCGUGUUAUUUCUGUCCUAAUAGCCUCCUUUUUGUCACGAGCGAACCGUCGCAGUUUUUGCUUGAUUGGUCUUGCGGUCUUCGAGACAUUUAAGGAGUGCUCGAUCAGGUUUCGUGGGACACCGGGCAUGUCUGCGGGUUUCCAUGCGAAAACGCUCACGUUGUCCCUUAGAAACCUGACGAGCGCGUCUUCCUAUUUUGGAUCCAGGUUAGCCCCGAUGAGGGCUGUCUUCUCGAGGUUGCCUUCGACCAGCUACACUUCUUUGUACUCCUUGGAUUUCGAGUUCUUUCUGGCUGUCUCCUGCUCAGGUAAUCGGAGCUGGUCGGGAGGCAGCUGUGCGGCUUGGUUUGCUGUUUCCGCCAUGCGGAUUGAGAGGUCGAUUGCCUCGGUGAUCUUGAAGCUUUCUUCUUCGCAGGUGUACGCGGUGUAGACGUUGCCUCUGAUGGUUAGGACACCCUUCUCCGUGGGCAUCUUAAGGACUAGGUAUGAGUAGUGCGGGACUGCCAUGAACUUUGUCAGCGAUGGGCGGCCCAGUAUGGCGUGAUAGGUCCCGUCGAAAUCCGCGACUACGAAGUUGAUGAACUCCGUCCGGAAGUGAUCGGGUGUGCCGAAUUGGACAGGCAAUGUUAUCUGUCCGAGGGGCACCGAACUUUGACCUGGCAAAACCCCCCAGAAUUGGGCGUCGUAAGGUUUUAGUUGUGCCGGUGAUAUCUUGAGGGCGGGCAGGCUGUUGCGGAAAAGGAUGUCGAUGGAGCUUCCCCCGUCCACGAGCACGCGCUCGAAUCUGAUGCUAUUGAUGCAGGGAUCAAGAAUCAGUGGGAAACGACCCGGCUCUGGGAUAGCGGCCCACUGGUCCUUCCUGCUGAACGAGAUCUCCCUGUGGGACAACGCGGGAAAUUUCGGGUCUGCAAUCAGCCCGUCCGUGCUGUCUAUGUUGAGGCAGGCUCUCUUUAACAGCUUUCUUUCUCGCUUGGACUCAGUGGAGACCUUGCCCCCGAAAAUGGAGUGGACCACGUCGGUGGGGCUGACGUAUUGGUGUCGGGGGUCCCUGUCUUGGUCCUUAUCCUCAUCUUCGUGGUCGUGCCCGUCGCGCUUGUUAUUUUUCUUGGCGGAGUCCUCUUGGGCGGCCCGCCGUGUAUAGAUACUUUUGAGGACGCGGCACUCUUCCAUGGUAUGGUUAGACUUUGGGUGUAGCUGGCACGGUCCCUUCAACGUUUUGUUGUAGUCGUCUUGGUAGUCCCGUCGUCCAUUGGGACGUUUGACCGUAUUUACUUCGUGGUCGUAUUCGCGAGGGCGCUUUCCUCUGAAGUCGUCGCGGCUAUCGCGCCGCCGAUCCCAACCCUCUCGGUGAUCGCGGUUGUCAGAGCGGCGGUGAUUUCUGUUGUCGUAGUGACCACGACCGUCAUCUCGCAGGGAAGGCUGGUCGGGGCCUCUCGCAUCGUCUCGGAUUAGUUUUUCUGCGUCAUCAGCAUCGGCGUAAUUUUUAGCCGUGGCGAGGAGCUCUGCUACCGUUGAUGGGCGCUUACGCAACAGCUUGUUCCUCAGCGCUUCAUGGAAACGCAAGCCCUUGAUAAAGGCCGAUAUGGCCUCGUCAUGGGAAAUCUUCGGGAUUUUGAGGCGCAUAUCCGAGAAUCGUCGGAUGUAAUCGCGCAGAGGUUCAUUCUUCCUGUCUCUUAUCCUUUCAAGGUCAUACUUGUUUCCGGGCUGCUCGCAUGUGGCGAUGAAGUUGUCGAUGAAAGCCUGGCGUAGCUCUUCCCAAGAGUCGAAGGAGUUCUCGGGCAAGCCGAGAAGCCACUGAUGACCAGCCUGGUCGAGGACUACGGGGAAGUAGUUAGCCAUGACGUGCUCAUCUCCUGCCGCUGAUCGGACGGCGAUUUCAUAGAGAGUGAUCCAGUUCUCUGGAUUUUCCUUGCCGUCGUAUUUUUUAAGUUUUUCGAGCUUGAAAUUGCGGGGCCACACGACCUGGCGGAGGUGUGAGGAGAACUGUCUUAGGCCUGGAGGACCGUGGGUCGCAUCGUACUCGAUGCGGCGCAGGUUUUCGUGGACUGCUCUGUCUGCGGCGCGCCUGUUGAUGCGGUCCCGGGCAUCUUUGGGAGGGAUGUUGUGGCGGAGAUCCCUGUGUUGAUCUUCUUCUUGGCCGCGUAUGCCAUGAAUUUGCUUGCGGCGGCCAUCGGCGUCCCGACCACCAUCGUCGCGCCGCGAGUCCCCUCGACGGUUGUCGGGGGAGCGGCUGCGGUGACGCCUGCUGGGUGAGACCUGGAUACGAUUAGUCUGGUCGGAGGCGGCUUCCGUAUAAGAGACGUCCUGGACUCUCUUGAGUAGAGUGGCUGUCUGUCCCAUUGCGGCGAUCAGGUGUGCUCGGAUGCUGGUCCGGACUCCCUGGCAUUCGGGGGUGUCAGGAAGCCGAUCCAGGUUGGCCAUGGCGACAGCCACGUUGGCGCUUGGCGUUUUGUAGACUGGCUGGUCCCCGACCAUGUCAAAGGCAUCGUUGAGGUUACUUGGUGGCAUCUGUUGCUCGUCCGCACGCCGUCGGGCGCGAUCGGCGUUACGCUGUUCGCGGAGUUGCCUCUGGUCAUCUGUUUCUCCGUCAACAGCCGGUUCGUCGGCGCUGACAUUGAACACAAUAUCCCCUCGCCGGGGGGGGGAAUAUCGGGAAUCGGUCGAAACCCGGAGGGUGUGAAGGAAAAUCCAGGUCGUAGCCCUCGUCUUCGGUGUUUAUAACCUCGGUGGGGACGGAGCCGGUGCUUGAGUUGGUGCUGGAAACCUGGCCGUCCCGUAGCUCUCGGAUUGUCACCAUGUUGACAUGGUGACGAUUGUUCCUUGUCGGCGACCAACCCGCCUUGCUGAAAACGGAUUGGACAUGCUGUGAGUAAACAGAGGCCGAGUUGUUCAGGCCGCGAGGAUAGUCUUCCUUUUUGAGCUCGACGGAUCGUCCUGAGGGGGUUGAGGUUAUCGUCAGGGACGUUCCCAGCCGUUCGUGUGUGGCGACACGAGUUGGCCGGCGGGAUUUCGAAAAAUCCGCUCGAGUAGCUUGGUCGGGCCGGCGCAGAACUCCAUCUAUUAGUUGGGAGACUUCGAGUAGCUUGGAGUCAGUGCGAUCGAGCGCUUGGAGGAGGUCCGAGCAGUCGAUCUCCUUUCCCUUGUAGAGUGGGAACGGUGGUCGGGCGCUUGGUGCUGUCAUGCGUGUGGUCGGAGACGGCGUGAUCUCAGAUUGGAUCUGGAUCUCCUUCGGAACCGUGGUCGCGAAGCUGCCGCUGCACGUCGUCCACGUGAUCUGGCCGACGGUGAACGUGAGGCCUUCGGGCACGGUCGCGGAAGCUGGGAUCGUGACCAUCUUGUUCGCCGGAAAAGUUGCACGCACACCCCCUACCUGGCGCGCCACUGUCGACGAAAGCUAGUCGGCAGUCUACCUUGGGGUAUACCCACGGUAGUAGUUUAUCGGUAGACGGUGCGCAAACUACGAACUCGAUGGUGACGCAAGACACGGGCAAGCUUUUUAUCCAGGUUCGGCCGCCGAGUUGGCGUAAUACCUACGUCCUGCGUCUGAUUGUAUUGAUUUGUGUUGAGAGAAUAUGAUGUCCUAGGGGGGUCCCUUGCCCCUCCUUAUAUAGUCUGGAGGGCAGGGUUACAGAUCUGGAAACUAAUCCUAGUCGGUUACAAUUGCCAUGGAUAAUUCGAUAUCAAUUCCUAUUCUAACCGACUAGAAUCCUACUUGAUCUCCACAUCUUGUUUCCUUGCGCGAAACUCCAGGUUGUCGGAUCAAGCCUUGAACUCGUCUCGUAAUGGGCCAAGCCUCCUGGCCGAAGUCUAGCCGUAAGGGUAUAGGGGUUUAUACCCCCACAGAUAUAAUGUUCUCAAUUAUACAUGCAAUGAUAGAUGCUCAAUCUCAUAUUCUAUUCUGUAAUCAAUAUUGAUGAUUGCUAAUCCCUUCCCAGUGGUAAAAAUAUAAAUAACGAUACCUGGAAUACUUCCCGGUUAAAAUGUUGCAUCGGUAUUAAUCUGUGCACUUGCAGAUCCCAUUCAUUAUUUAUUUAGAAGAGCAAUUGCAUAUUUCAAUACCGCGUCUCUUAUAUCAUGCUGGGGAUGACAACUUGGCUUAAGUGGUGUGAGGGAUAGGUUUGGCAUUUUUGGCACCGUUACUAGAUUUAGAGAACUUAGUCUACUUUUGGUAAUGAUGUUAAGAAUACCCAACAAGCAUUUUUGGCGCCGUUGCCGGGGAAGGUUGAUUACUAAUCAGAAAUGGAAUAAAAGAUUUUGAGUUAUCAUUCGCAUCACUAAUAUGAUUGAGCUUAUCUAUUCUCUCAUACAGUUUUACCCCGAUAUUUUCCUAUUUCAUCUUAUGCAGGGGAAUGUAUGAAUAGAAGACAUCUUCCAGGAAAUUUUGUUGACAAUCCCGAAGCAUUAUUCAAGAAGACGAGAGCCAAGCUAAAGAAAUCAUCAACACUUCAGCAAGAAGCUUCAUCCAAUCAAGAAGAUCACCGGAACUUGUCUUCAGAGUUUGAAGCCAUGGCAAACAAAUCAAUCCGCGAGUUCUCAGCUCCCACUACGGAUAACAUCCUCACUGGACCUGCUGCAGAGAUCGAUGGCAACUUUGAGCUCAAGCCUAGACUUAUCAACAUGGUGCAAUCCAACCAGUUCUGUGGGAAGGCACACGAAGAUGCUAGUGCUCAUUUACAACAUUUCCUGGAGAUUUGCAACACAUUCACCAUAUCAGGAGUUCCCAAAGAUGCUAUACUACUUCGCCUCUUCCCAUUCUCACUAUUAGGAAGAGCGAAGUAGUGGUUCUACGCUACAAAGGAGAAGAAUACUACGUGGGCACUCUGCUCAACAAACUUCCUGGCUAAGUUCUUUCCCAUGGGCAAGACCAAUGCUCUCCGUGGGAAGAUUACAAGUUUUCAGCAACAAAAUGAUGAAUCUGUUCCAGAAGCAUGGGAGCGCUUUCAAGACUACAUCCUAGAAUGUCCCCAUCAUGGAAUGGAGAGUUGGCAGUUGAUGCAGACAUUUUAUCAUGGGCUCGGCAACAGUGCUCGAGAAACCAUGGAUGCUGCAGCUGGAGGAGCAUUCUUAUCACUUACAAUACCACAAGCCACAGCUCUUGUGGAGAAGAUGGCGUCCAACCAAAGCUGGAAUGAAGAGAGGACCCAGACACGCAAGAGAGGUGGACGUAUGCAUCAGCUGAAAGAGGUAGACAUGCUGUCUGCAAAGCUAGACCUGCUCAUGAAGAAGCUCGAUGAUAGAGCUGGAGACAAGAAAGAAGUUAUGCACAUCUACGACUCUCACAUGACUUGUGAGGAGUGUGGAGACACUGGACACUUAGGCAACCACUGCCCUGAGAUGCUUGAGGAUGUGAACUACGUCAACAACAACUACUACUACUACAACCGUCCUCAACAAAAUCAUGGUUGGAAUCAACAGAGGCCUAACUACUCAGGUAAUUAUCAAGGUAACAAUUCUUACAACAACAAUAAUAAUUAUCCACCUUUGAGAGAGUUAGUGUCUAAUCAAGGAAAGCUAAUGGAUAAUCUAUCUAAGAAAUUGGCAUCUAAUGAUAAAAUGCUAGAAAAUAUAAAUAAUAGAAUGGAUAAUUCCUCUACUGCCAUUAAGAAUCAAAUUAGCUUUAAUAAAAUGAUUGAAUCUCAGUUAAAUCAAAUAGCUGUUGCUGUUCCUACUACUAACCCCGGUAUACCAUCACAACCGGAAGGAUUAGAAUCUGCAAAUCUUGUAGACACGUUUGAUGCAGGUAAUUGGAGUAACCCCGUCACUGAAUUCUCUACUGACCUUCUGCCGGUCAAGAGAGGCGAUCCAGGACGCCCCGUCAUCCCGAUCUCUAUCGGCAUGGUGGACGUUCCAGAAGCACUCUGCGACUUUGGCUCCAGUGUCAACAUUAUAACCAGGGUACUCUAUGAAAAAUUCUUUACAUAUCCUUUAUUAGAAACAACCAUGUGUUUGCAGUUUGCAGAUCAGACGAUAACUUUUCCAAAAGGAAUAGUGAAGAACCUUUGUGUCCGAGUUGGUACCUUAUAUGCCCCAGCAGACUUCGUAGUGGUAGAGACCGGAAAUGAUGAGAGAGCACCUAUCAUCUUAGGGAGGCCAUUCUUGAAUACCACGGGAGCUAUCAUCUAAGCUAGUGGUGCUAAGAUCAGUUUCUACGUCAAAGGGAAGAAGGAGACAUUUUUCUUCAAGAACAAGACUACACAAAUUCCAGAUCAAUCCAGACGUCAAUCAAGGAAGAGGACCAAUAGGAGGAACAGGAACAAGCAAGUGUGGACCGAGCCAGCUAAGAUGGUCACUGUAGUUCAUGGAGGCCAAGAUCACCAACUUAAGUCACCGCUUUUGACCAAGAAGGACGACCCAGGAAUGCCAAGCAUCUACUGCUCCAUCAAUGGAUACAAUUUCUACAAGACGAUUUGCGACACCGGAUCGGGCGUCAACAUAAUGGCCGCAGUCACCUAUCAGCUCUUGUUCGGAACCAUGCCACUAAGACCAACAUACAUUCAACUCCAGAUGGCAGAUCAGACAUUUCGAGAAGUUAAAGGAAUAGUAACUGAUGUUCCAGUCAAAAUAGACGACCACUUUGUCUACACAGACUUUCAAGUUAUUGACAUGGGAGAAGAUGAGUACGAUCCACCCAUCAUCCUUGGAAGACCGUUCCUCAGCACCGUUAAAGCAACUAUCUACAUUGGAACCGGAGAAGUCCAUAUGCACUUCCCCUCAGAGAAGGUACGCCGUUAUUUUACUGACCCUAACUAUAUCGUUGAAGAAUCUAAGCAGGUAAGGAAACGACGCAACCGCAACCAGAGGAGGCAGAUCAUCAAGGACGGAUGGGCAGACUACGAAGGAGAAGUUAUAAGGUCAGAAGACGUAGAGUUUAAACAGAAUUAUCCAGAGGAGACUGAAGCACCAAGUCAGGUGUGGAAAAUGAAGAUAACUAUACAUGAAGAGGAGGCGCCGCCGGAAGUUCCGACUACGCCACCCAACGAACCUCAGGACGAUUGAAAAAAAUGGAGAGUCCCGUUCGGAGGACUUAAAAAAACACCGAACGCCUUGCCGAGAGGUAAACUUGGUAGUUAUCCUUUCCCUUUCAAUUAAUUCAACUAGUUUACUUAGUUAAUCAUGUUAGUACUAUCUUAAAAAUAAAAGAAAAUAAAAAUGCGAAAAAACAGUAAGCCCCAUGUGAGUAUGCGAGUGGCACAAAACCCAUAAGUACAUUCACUGUGGUGGCCUAAAAAUAAAAUAAAAAUUUUCUUUUCUGCUUUAUAAAAUAAAAAUAUAAAAACAGGGAGUUAUAAUUAUUAAGGAGUCUCAAGAUGAUAAAGGCUAGAUAUUUAUGCUAACACUUAAUCAGUUCCACAAGCUUUGUUGUCUAUUUGAGCUCCACAGAAUUUAAGAGUCAAGAAGACUAGUAGACGGAGGACAUUCUAAUCGCUGUCAGAAUGCUGCUGACUUUCAAAUACACCUCUGCCACCUGCUAGCUACAUCAAGAGAAAUUACGUCAAAAUUCAGCUUGGGGGAGAGCACCCCCAUUUAUCUCGAUAAGUAUUUCUAUCUAUCUUUAUACUUAUAUUAUAUUAGAAUAUUAAAAUACAUAAACUAUAAAAAACCAAAUAAAUAUUUUAUGCUUAUAUAUAUGUCUUUUGCUUAGUGUGUUUAAUAAAUAAAUAAAGUGGCUAUGCUAAUCUGUAUCUAAAUAAAACUUAAGCAUGGAUAUGAUGAAUAGUUGCUCUGCCUAAUUUGCACAUUUUAAGUUCUCUCUCAAGUUUAGAUAUAACUGUUAUAAUUUAAAGCUUGCUCUAGACCUAAACUUGUGGGAUGAAAACUUGAUCUGAAGCGGAUACGAUAUAGGAAGGUUGAGCUGCUGUUUAUCUGUUCCUAGAGAUGCUAGAAUUCUAGAGAAUUUUAUCUUUGAAAAUCUUUAAAAUGUUGCAUGAUGAGUUCCUGUAUGAUGAGAGUUUAAAUUCCUACCACAGCCAUAUAUACAUGCUUGCUAGACUUUGAGCCACACAUUUACUAUUUACUGCUUAUGAGCAUUGAGUGUGGUCAAGCUGUGUAGACCCUUAGGAACUUGUCAUGUGGUUAAAUCAAGAUUCACUUGCACGUUCACUCAUAUAUGCUACUUCUACUCCGGAAGUACCAUCCACAUAUAUCCACCCAUUCCAUCUCCAGAAUCACCCAAAAAUAUUCUACUCCUAAUCCGGGAGAGAAUAACCAAAAAUAUUUCUGUUUUCCCUUGUGAAAUAAAUGCUCAAGUUAUCUUGUUACUACCACUUGCUAUAUUAUCUCAAGCGAUGAAUGCUCUAAAAAAAGAGAGAAAUACGAGGAAAGAAAAAGGAGCAAGUGCUCGGAACCUCGAAAGAAAAGAGAAAGUGAGACGAGAGGUAAAAAUGGACAAGUGUCCGACAGUAGAAUUAGGGGUACAAGAUACCCACCUGAGAGAAAAGAAAAAGAAGAGCAUCUCAUUCUCCUCAUAAAGUUUCAAAAAAGCAAGAAAGGUAUGUAUCCCCUCAAAAGAGCAAGGUAGAAUUAGACUUCCACCACCAUUGUUUUCACUAUUGUUAUCACCAUCAUCACUAUACAUCAUUCAUUCGCCACACAUGCACAUCUUGAUUAAACUCAUUGGCUUGUUUCUUUGGAUCCAUGGUUUGACUAUGCAAUACAUGUCUUGUAAGUAUGUAUACUUUAUCUCCCACCUAUGAGCUCCAGAUAUUAAAGCCUUAUUAGAGUAGGGUGAGAGAGAAGGCAAUGUCAUUAUGCUUUAUACCACAAAUACCACAUAUAUUGAGAGAAGGCAUAUACCAUUACUGCCUUGGUAAGGAUCCAGAAAUACCACAAAAGAGAGAUCUGAAAGAAUCAUACAAGGAAUCUCUGAGUUUUAUUUGAAAAUCUGCAAAAACCCCAGAUAGAAGUGACGGUUACAAGUCCCAUGGUAGAAGGUAAAGUAAGUCAGUUUUUAGUCUUGACAGUUUACUCUAACUCAGAGAUGAGAUCUUAUUUAAAAGCAUGUGUACCGUCAAAUUUUUAAAGAUAUUGCAACAACUUAUGAUCCAUAGCUGAGUCUAUCCUUGCUCAGGGACGAGCAAGAGGUAAGCUUGGGGGAGUUUGUUGACGGUCCUUAAGUAUCAAAUUUAAUUAUCAAAUAAAUAAAGAAAAGGAUCCAAAUGAAAUCAACAUCUAGACUUAGGGUUUUAUCUGACAGAAUUCCACGAGUUUUGGUGUUUGUCUAUUUCUACAGGGGGUUAUUAGGAAAUACGGAAGAAAGGCCCACACGUCGGGAUUACGUAAAGAUAUUAACGUGCCGCGCAAUUAUCUUACAUCUAGAAGACUCCAGGAGCCACGAGACCGAAGCGGAGGCGAAACGGGGCCAGACCCUGGGCGCCCGCCCAGUUGGUCAGGACGCCCGCCCUGCCUCUGAGUCCAAUCAGGACUCUGCUUCGUGGGAGAUCUGCACCGACCUAAAGGAUGAAUCUAAACCAUACAAUCUAUGUCGGUUUGAUCCAAUGGCCCAUAUUCACUUGAAGGGACUAUAAAACCAGACCCCCUGGCCCCUGGAGGAGGGAGCCUCUCAACCCUAAUUCAUUGUUCUUCAAGGGAGAAGAAGCCCCUGAUCAAGAUUAGAGCCACCACAUCAAUUAGAUAUCUAGAUUCGCAUAGCUACAUAGGAUUAGAACUAGAAGGAGUCAAUCUUCGAUUGAUUUCUGGAUCUGUCAAGAGGAUACUUGGUAAUUCUCUAAUUGUGCUUCUAAUUGCUUUCUAAUUAUCUUUGUUCUUCAAUAUUAUGAAUAUGACUUUGUUCUACUUCAAUAUAUUGCUUAUGACUUUGAUCUACUUGCUUAUAUUCAAGAUGAUAUUGUUCCUAGUUUAUCAUAGUUAUGUACUUGGCUUAGUUAGAUUGGAUCUAUAUACAUGCUUAGGAUCGUAUAGCGUUUAUCCAUCGGAUCCAUGGGUAAAUGAUAGAUAUUGUGUAGGCGUGGUGCUUAUACCGUAUUUAUCUGCGAUUGUACCCAAUAUGCCAGAUCGUGGGGUAGUUCGUGAUAGUGACAGCUUCAUUGAUUCUUAUAUAGUCCCCCUCUCAUGUAUUGGGCUGGCAGAGCAACAUUAUUACAGGGGAAUGAUUGUUAUGUUUCUCAUAUUCCUUGCUAAUAUCACUAUGCAUGGGCGUAGUCUUGUCUCGCAAUGAUUGCUAAGUAUGCUUGCACUAACUAUGAUAAUGCUAGACUAUAUAGUUGAGAAUAACUUAGGGAAUAUUCUUGUAGUUCGUUCUAAUACCAUGCUAAUGACUUUCUAUAGUAUCUAAUUGAGGUGCUUAUCAUAUUUAUUAUGUGGCUAGAUCAGAUUAGUUAUCCUUGUCACUAUUAUUAUUUCAUAUAUCUUUUAUGUGACACUUAUCCCUGUAUGAUGAGUUAGAUAUAAUGUUCUCAAUUAUACAUGCAAUGAUAGAUGCUCAAUCUCAUAUUCUAUUCUGUAAUCAAUAUUGAUGAUUGCUAAUCCCUUCCCAGUGGUAAAAAUAUAAAUAACGAUACCUGGAAUACUUCCCGGUUAAAAUGCUGCAUCGGUAUUAAUCUGUGCGCUUGCAGAUCCCAUUCAUUAUUUAUUUAGAAGAGCAAUUGCAUAUUUCAAUACCGCGUCUCUUAUAUCAUGUUGGGGAUGACAACUUGGCUUAAGUGGUGUGAGGGAUAGGUUUGGCAUUUUUGGCACCGUUACUAGAUUUAGAGAACUUAGUCUACUUUUGGUAAUGAUGUUAAGAAUACCCAACAGUAAUGACCAAUCAGGGGGUUGAAUGAUUGGUGCAGAGAUGAGUGCUUUCUUUAAUAAAUUGAAAGAUGUUAGACAUGCAUCAUCAAAUUCAAAAAGAGCAUCCUUGGCUAGCAAAAGAGUAAGUGGUCUAGCAAUAAAUGAAAAAUCUUUUAUGAAUCUACGAUAAAAACCAGCAUGGCCAAGAAAGCUUCGAAUUCCUUUUAUGUUCACAGGUGGAGGUAGUUGUUCAAUUACUUCAAUUUUAGCUUUGUCUACCUCAAUACCUCUUUCAGACACUAGGUGUCCUAGCACUAUUCCUUCCCUAACCAUGAAAUGACAUUUUUCCCAAUUAAGGAUUAAGUGCUUUUCUUCACAUCUUUGCAAAACCUUGUCUAAGUUUUCAAGACAACUAUCAAAAGUUUUUCCAUAAAUAGAGAAAUCAUCCAUGAAAACUUCCAUAAUCUCUUCAAUCAUAUCAGAAAAUAUAGACAUCAUGCAUCUUUGAAAAGAAGCUGGUGCAUUACAUAACCCAAAAGACAUUCUACGGUAAGCAUAAGUUCCAUAUGGGCAUGUAAAAGUGGUUUUGCUUUGAUCAUCGGGAUGGAUCGGGAUCUGAUGAUACCCUGAAUAUCCAUCUAAGAAACAGAAGAACGAAUGGUUUGCUAAUCGCUCUAGCAUCUCAUCUAUAAAAGGUAAAGGAAAGUGAUCCUUUCUCGUGGCUUUGUUUAGUUUUCUAUAGUCUAUGCACAUCCGCCAUCCUAUGACGGUGCAUUGCGGAAUUAGCUCGUUCUUUUCAUUCAUAAUAACAGUCAUGCCUCCCUUUUUAGGCACAACUUGCACUGGGCUUACCCACUCACUAUGCGCCACAGGAUAUAUAAUCCCUGCAUGCAACAACUUUAUAACUUCCUUUUUAACUACAUCUCUCAUAGUGUUAUUAAGUCUACGUUGGGGUUCUCGAGAGGGUGAAACAGAAGGAUCUGUUGGAAUACGAAGGGUAUUAUCCAUCUCAGCUUCUAGGAUUCUAUCUAGGAUCACUCUAUGUCACACCCUGGCUUUUAAAAUAAGACCAGAGUCGUCAUAUGUGUGCCCAGGAAGUCCACACAUACAACAAAGAAUAGAAAUAUCAGAAAACAAUGUUAUAUAUAGCGGAAAACAUAUUUAUAAUAACACUUACAACUAUCAGAGUACGCGGAAACAGUAGCUAAACUUCUUAGGCUCCAUUCUUCUCAGGGACGGUUGACUGGGGGCUCCGUACGCCAAGCACUUCUGAUAUACUUCAAGAAAACUUCAUGACAUCUUUAUCCUUCUUCUGAGCACCACUUUACUACACACUGGGGUGUGGGGAAAAUAGCAAGGGUGAGUUCAUGUCGAACUCAACAAGUACAGGCGGAAAGUAUAAUGACAUGCAAGGCUUAAUCAAAGGAAAAGUUAACACUGUUUAACUGCAGGUGAUCUUUUAAGUUGGUACACUUUUAUUAUACCUCUUUUCUUUAAACAACCUAUUACUAGUUGUGAGUAGAGCAUCCCAACCCUUAAUUAGAUGAAAGUAAAUUAACCAUUUUAUUAAUCAUCAUCAUUAUUAUUAUUACCGAGGUAGGAACCUCACAUAGUAACUCAGGGUAGCAACCCCAUUAAGGUCAUGGGAUAGCAAUCCCAAUUAAGAACACAGGAUAGCAAUCCUACCAACACAGAAUAGCCAUUCCGCCAAAGCAUGAGGUAGCAACCUCAACCAAGUUUCGCCUCCAAGUAUCCAGUGAAUCCAAUUUGCUCAUCAAGUGAGGGUCUGGGCCGCUCGUGACCGUGAACAUGGCUGAUAUAUCAGUUUUACACUCUGCAGAGGUGUGCACGUUCACUCCAAGUCGUGAUUCCCAUUCGCCCGGGGUCGCGUUCCCCAAAACACUACCAAGGUGAGCAGGCAGGGUUUCACUACGAGACCUUUCAUAGGGUCCAACUAAUAGGAUGCCACUCGUAAGUUUUUGCCGGGGCGCGCGGCAGCCGUGCCCAUAGCAAUGGACUGACCGACCUCUUAAUAUAAAUACCCAAGCUACUUCCUUACGCCUACCCGGAAAGUAACACUCUACCAGUGGAGGUCCUGAUAAUUAGUCAAGCCAGAGCCAUAUAGCUUGGAGCUGCACUGUAUGUCCCAGGGGGCCGCUCCCUGACUAAGUCCUUACGGAGAGCAGAGACGGGUACGCCCGGCAAACCGGACCACCAACAGUACCCGCUCCCCCUUUCCUCAACAAACCACGAUGCUCGCAAGCACCGCAACAUCUCCGUCACCGAAGUGACCUUUAUCCAUCAUUGGAGCAUUAGUCAUCAUUGAAGAAUUCAUUAGGCAAGAUUAUUACUUUUAUUAUUAUAUAGUUUAGAUGAGUAGAGCAGCUAAGCAUAACUACUGUUCACUAUUCUACCCAUGUAUAAAACCCAGGAGUACAAGGAAUACGAUAGAAAGCUAGUCAUGUCCUUGGGGUUUGCAGUAUUAAGACACAUGCAAUGAAAAGCAAAUGUAUUUAAAGUUCAUAGGUACAAUAUGAUCAAAGGGUGUCUGCACUUGCCUUAAUUCGCAGUGUUUAACUGCUCAAAAAUCUUUGACUUCCUUCUUCUGAUCUCCAACUUCUGCUUCGACUGUCGGUCCUAAACGUGCUCGCUAGAAAUUUUGAACAUAUUUUAUGCUUGUGAAGACUGAACAUAUUUUAGUUAGUUUUUUUUAACUCAUAACUUUAAUUAAUUUUUUUUAAGUAGGACUUAUUUUUCUGAAAAUCAAAAGGACCUAAACGUGCUCGCUAGAAAUUUUGAAAUUCAUUUUUCUAAGACCAGCCAAACAAAGCUAGGUCACAAAACACACAUCAAAUAAAACACCCUCCACUUAAUUUAUUAAAAGUUUUAGAAUUCCACAUUUUUCUCAUUUUAUAAUAACAACAAUGAAUAAAAUCUUGGAAUAUUUCACAAAAAUUUUAAAUCCUUAUUUAAUUUAGUAUUUUCUAAUAACAAUUCAAAACUAAAAAUUUUGGAGUGUUAUACUCUAGCUUCAUCAGUAGGGAAGCGAAAGAAAGAACCUCUAGACAUUGUGUGUAGCAUUUGUUUGUGAUUUUUCUGAAGACCUCGAAAAAAGUGAAAUAAAAGAACAGGAUCUUCAAGAUUAAGGUUUGGACCAGAUUCUAAAAGAUUAGAAAAACGUUUCCAGGAUUUUCCCAAAGUUUCAUUAUCUUUUUGUUUAAAAGAUAGGACUUCGAGUCUAAGGUCGGCUAUACGGUCGAGGGAAUAGAAAUCUAGACAAAAGUUGGCUCGUAAAACUCCCCAUUCACCUCGUUGUUGACUUACCUUGUGACUGUACCAUUGUCUAGCUUCUUCCCUUAAGGAAAAAGGAAAAAGCUUCCAACGUAAAGGAAAAAGCUUCCAACGUAAAGUUUUAUCAGAAAUGCCUUCAAUGCGAAGACAAUCACAUGUUUGCUCAAAAUCUCUAAUAUGAAGGUAAGGGUUUUCGUCUUCCUUUCUCGAAAAAAAUAGGUUUUGAAUCAUGGCAAUCAACCUAGAACUUAACUUAUACUGGGAUGUUUGGAUAGGCUGUGAUAAUUCCCAUGGUAAAAGGUCAGUUACUGAAGGGAUUGCAGAUUCAUGGAUCGAUUUAGAAUUUUGGUUUUCCAUAAGGUAAGAGUAAAGAAAAUAAAUAAAGAAUAUAAAAGAUAAGAAAAGUAUAGAUACAAGCUAGUAGUAAGACUCAAGGUUAUCUUCAGCAACGGCGCCAGAAAUGCUUGUUGAUAUUUGGGAACGCAAUAAGGAAUUGAUCCGCAAGCGCACGAAUAUCGGUGAGCACUUCACCCGGGAAAUUAUCUAGAGUAUCGUAUUUAUUUUUUUACCACUAGGAGAAAGAGUGCAUCUGACUAACCGGUCUAUUACUACUAACCCUUUAGGCAACAAAGAAUGUCUCUCGAUGUGAGUGAUAAAUAGAGAAGACUGCAACCGUAGUCUCCUUCUAACCUUGGUAAGGAUGAUCUAUUGUUCUAUUGGGGAGGCUAACGGAAUCUAGACACCACAAAGGAUGUUCAACCCGCACCUAUAAACCCUAUCCCUCCUGCUAACGAGAUAUGGUCUGCAAAGGUAACUCGGAUAUGUCACGUUCCUCGCUACUACCACGGUCUAGCUAGUCAGGGAAUAUCUAUGAGUACCCCAGCCUAAACACCACAUUUACACUAGCAAUGAUUACUCUAAACUCUACGCGAAGAGAUUAAAGUAAACUCAUAAACCAUAAGAACAAUAAAACAACAACUUACUAGAAUUUAGAAGUCGAAAUACCGAAGAAUCCUAGGAGCAAGCUUCGGGUUAGGAGAACUUGAUCCUGCAGGUACAAGCUUGGAGUAGACACCGACAGGCCGGGCUUCCUCCAAUCUACACCUCCACUCUAUCUCUCUCAAUCUAGUAGAAACUAGAAGAUCUAUUUCUACUUUACAUUGGUUGCUAAGCCUAAAAAGAAAUAUUAAUUAGAGAAGAGGUUUUUCUUCGAGGGCACCCCUCAAUCUCUAUGAUAACUUCCUCUCUCCUCCAGGGGCCAAGGGGGCCUCCUUAUAUAGUCCUCCAAUAUGCAUUUUUGGGUCGGUAGGCGAGGUGGAACUACGUUAUUCUUGAUCCAAUAGGUCGGUGGAACAACGUGUGCGAAGAGAGUCUCGAAAGACUUCCAGCAGGGGGCGGGCGCCCAGGUCACCAGGGUGGGUUCCUUGGCCUGGCCCCUUUCGGCCUCUGUUUUCUUCCCGUGGCUUCUGGAGUCUUCCUGAUGGUAGAAAAUCACGCGGUGCGUUGAUAUCUCUAUGUAAUCCCGAUAUGUGGGCCUUUCUUCCUUAUUUCCUGAUAACCCCUGCCGAAACAGAUAAACAACAAAACUCGUGGAAUUCUGUCAGAUCCAACCCUAAUUCUAGGUGUUGGUUGCAUAUUGGUCCAUUCUCUUGUUUAUUUAAUAAUUAAAAUUGAUACUUAAGAACCGUCAACAACAGUCACGGUGGAUGUUGGAACCGUUCGCUAGGUUCUUAGGGCUCGAUGCCUCCCUCAAUGGGAUCCCACUCACGUGACACCCGCAUGGGUCUCGGACAUGACAGGCAAAGAUGCGCCGAUCCCCUAGGAGGGUCGGACCAUGGCCUCUAUUGUGCUCAUCCUCAGUCAUCCCUCGCUCGAUCAUCCUGAGGCGACAGUUCGAACCCGGUUUUUGGGUCAGUCUCGCAACCUCUGGAACGUAGGUGGCCAUGGCCCGGGGAUUUUUGCUUUGAAAGGUUUUAGUUUGAUUUUAAUAUCGGGGUUGAGCGAGACGGAAUCUUCGCCCGACAAGAACCGCCUUGUAAUCUUGCUCGGGGCCAGUAGGGGUCAGGCGAGAUGGAAUCUGCGCCCGACGGGGACCUACCCGCGACUUUGGUCAACGGGGGGUCGAGCGCUUCUUGCUUUGGAAGGAACCAUCCAACAUAACUUUUCAGGGCGCUCCUUUUGAGGCGCGGUGCGUGGGGACUCGAAACGGCCGUGACGUCGUUCCCUGACCGGACGGGACGUUUCGGCUGUGAAAUUAAUGCGCGCGUGCGGCGGGCGUGAGAAUCGGAGGGAGUUGGCGCUUCGAAUUUUUCACCUGGUGGGGAGUGGGCGACGGUUGCCCUUUCCGCCCUCUUGGUCUUCUGCUGGCGACGUGGUCGUGGCGUUCUUCCUCUAUAAAAGCCGCCGUGGGGGACUUGGUUUCUUUCCUCUCGCUCCUGCAAAAAAGGUCUUGCCUCCUGCCUUUUCUCCUGCCCCCAUCUUCUCUGUUUCCGCCGCGCAGAUGCUCUUUCCCAUCCAAAGCCAUGGCCGGCGUUGAGGCGUGGCCACCUUGCUGCGUGACCAAGUCCGCGCUGGACGCCCGUGUGAAGGCCGGGAUUUUCCGCCCUCUCAAGGACGUCGAGUUCUCGGAGUGGAUCGUUCCUUCGGCGAACGACAGGGAGCCAAACACGCCCCUGGGCUAUGUGGUUUGUUUCCUGUCGUUCUUAGACCGGGGGUUCGGAACUACGGCCGGUUGACUGAUCCGGGCUAUCCUUCACUACUACGAGGUGGAGCUGCACAACCUCAACCCCAACUCGGUGAUGCAGGCCGCCGUCUUCGCUACAGUUUGUGAGGGGUUUCAGGGGGUUCCUGCCCAUUGGAACCUCUGGCUUCACCUUUUCAAGGCGGAGAUGUCGGCCCGCUACGUUGGAGGGGAGAAGUUCCCCCUGUGAGUCGGCGGUUGCACGCUGCAACUCCGCCAGCAGCGGUCUUCCCAGUACAUCUGGAGUACGAUGCCCUCGUCGAACCGGGGGUGGCAGAGCGGGUGGUUCUACCUCAGGAACGACGGUGGGCUUCUCCCGGCGUACACUGGGAAGAUGGUGACAGAGAGCCCCCAGAAGUGGGUGUGGGGUACUCCUACAGAGGAGCAGAAGAAGCUCGCCCCGCUUCUUGCGGGGCUUGAGAAGCUGCGGGAUGCCCGAGUCACCGCGGCCACAGUGGCGAUAGUGUUCCACAAGAGGAGUAUACUUCUACUGGCGCAGCAGCGGGUAUUCAUGUUUGAGAUGACUCGGGACGUCCCCUGGGCUGGGACGAAGAUGCUGGCCGAGCCAAUAUCGGCAUCGGAUAUCACCGCCCAAGUGGAGAGGACAACACACCCGGAUAUGAAGAACUCACGUGUGGUGCCGAUGCGCCCUGAAAAGGGCUACAUUUCUCUGGUAACAUGCUGAAUUUUUGCGCCUGUAUCCUUAUUCUUCCAGCCUUUUUCUUGACCGCUUGGUCGUUUGCAGAGGAUCGGGGUCGUUAGGGAUUCCCUGCCCCCUGUCCUAGAGGACAAGGAAAUUCGGGCCAAGAAUCGGGCCCGGAAUGAGGAACAGAAGAAGGCCAAGUAGGACAAGAAGGCCAAGGCGGCGCGGAAAGCGCAAAGGCGGGAGAUCUCCGCCAAGAACCACCGUGAAGCCGAGAAGGCGGGGGGAUUGAGACCCCAGAGGGGUCAAAGGCCCGAGGGGGGUCAGAGGCCCCCGAGGGGACUCAGGCGCCGGGGGGCGGAUAGGCCGUCCCCCACAUCAUUGUGGAUGACGAGGACAGCGCCCCUCGGGAGGGUUCGGUCCCCGUGGGUCCCCAAGAGGGGGAGAAGGCGUUGGAGGGCCAAUCCGAGGUGCCCCCUCAACUGGCAGUGCUAGAAGGUGUAACCGAGCCGUGCCCGGCGCCCAGGGCGGGGGCCGGCGCCUUGGUGGAAGCGACGCAGGCUGAGACCACCAUCGUGGCCCCUGCGCCGUCUGCUGGCGAGACAGGGGUCCACCCGACGGGCCCUGGCGCUUUGGGAGGGCCCCAUGGGGCUCUAAGCUCCCAGAAGAAGGCUGUCCCCCGAGCGAGGUACAUAUAGGAUUUCUGAUCCUUCCGUUGAUUUUUUGUUUUUCUCUUUCUUCUGAUUUGUGUUGCUCCUUCAGCCGGAAGCAAAAAGCGGCACCGGUGGCGCUGGCCCCCUGAAGGCCGUGAAGAGGGGGGCGCAGUCGACUCCUGGGUCGGCUAGGCCCGUAUCGCCUCCAUCCCUAAGCCACGCGGUGGGGGGAGCCGCCAGGAAGGAGAGGGGCUGAAGACGUGGGCGCCGAGGCCCCACGGGCCGGAGGUGAUGGCCCUUGCUCCCGGGGCUACGACUCCUCCGGAGGAUGUCGAUCUGGGAGGCGUGGUUCGGCCCGCGCAGGCUGAGGAAGGGCGAGCCAUUGUGGUGUCCAACACGGCGCCCGAGGCUCCCACGGCGGGAGGGGAGGUCGAUGCUCGAUGGGGCAAGAGCCCCGUAUUCUGGCCCAACUUCGACGAUGCAGAGGGAGGGGCCAGAUUCGUCCUGGACGACCCGUCGGAGGAUUACCUCAGGCAAGGUCUGGACGCAUGCGGUAGGAGACGCCGAGCUUCUCAGCUGGUGAGCCGAGACAUGUAUAACUUGGCCCAGGUAAGGCUUCUUCCCAAGUUGUAAAGUAUUUUUGCUCUGUUUUGCAAUACUGAAUCCCUGUGCGACUUCCGAUUCUAUAGGCGCUCAAGGCUACGUCCUUGGAGAAGUCAGUUUUUCUCCGCAGGGAAAGAGACGCCUGGGCGACCUGCGAAAACGAAAGGGCUGCUAGGGAGGCAGCUGAGGGGGAGCUCGUGAAAGAGUGCGAGAUCUCUACCGAGCUUCGGCAGAAGUGCUCGGCUCUCGCAUCCCAGGCUCAGGAGGCCCUGGAAAAGGUCACCCCCCUAGAGAAGAUGGUCAGGGACCUUACCCAGGAAUCCGAGGAGCAGAAGGCGGCGGCUGAGAGGUAUAAGGGUGAGGUUGCUCGGCUUGAGGCUUUGCUCGCCGAAAAAGUCCUUGCCCUGAACCAAACUCAGGCUGACCUUGCUGCUGCUCAGAGCCAGGUGGCCCGCUGGCACUGGAGCUCGGCGGAGCACGAGAAGCGAGCCGAGGGUAAGACUUGUGUUUUUUACCUCGGUCCCCUUCGUUCUUUGGGUUAACUUUCCUGACUUCCCAUUUUUUGCUCUGCUUUUCAACAGAGUUAGAGAGGAAGGUGGUCGAGGCGACCUCUACUGCCGAGGCUCUGCAGGGGUCCCUUGACGCCGAGGUUUCGGACCGCUCGGCUCUUGAAGCCGUGGUCACCUCGGCGUGUGAGGGGCUCGGGGUGCCGGCGUCAGGAUCAUCGCUGCGGAGUCAGGUCAAAGCCCUUUACUCCCGGGCCGGGGAGAGGAUGAGGGAGGCGCUCCACGCUGGGGUGAAGAAAGCCCUGGCGGUGGUGAGCUCUAUUGACGGUCCUUAAGUAUCAAAUUUAAUUAUCAAAUAAAUAAAGAAAAGGAUCCAAAUGAAAUCAACAUCUAGACUUAGGGUUUUAUCUGACAGAAUUCCAUGAGUUUUGCUGUUUGUCUAUUUCUAUAGGGAGUUAUCAGGAAAUACGGAAGAAAGGCCCACAGGUCAGGAUUACAUAGAGAUAUUAACGUGCCGCGCAAUUAUUUUACAUCUAGAAGACUCCAGAAGCCACGAGACCGAAGCGGAGGCGAAACGGGGCCAGAGGCAGGGCGCCCGCCCUCCUGCCCUGGGCGCCCGCCCCCUCUAGGAGUCCAAUCAGGACUCUGCUUUGCGGGAGAUUUCCACCGACCUAAAGGAUGAAUCUAAACCAUACAAUCUAUGUCGGUUUGAUCCAACGGCCCAUAUUCACUUGAAGGGACUAUAAAACCAGACCCCCUGGCCCCUGGAGGAGGGAGCCUCUCAACCCUAUUUCAUUGUUCUUCAAGGGAGAAGAAGCCUCUGAUCAAGAUUAGAGCCACCACAUCAAUUAGAUAUCUAGAUUAGCAUAGCUACAUAGAAUUAGAACUAGAAGGAGUCAAUCUUCGAUUGGUUUCCGGAUCUGUCAGGAGGAUUCUUGGUAAUUCUCUAAUUGUGCUUCUAAUUGCUUUCUAAUUAUCUUUGUUCUUCAAUAUUAUGAAUAUGACUUUGUUCUACUUCAAUAUAUUGCUUAUGACUUUGCUCUACUUGCUUAUAUUCAAGAUUAUAUUGUUCUUAGUUUAUCAUAGUUAUGUACUUGGAUUAGUUAGAUUGGAUCUAUAUACAUGCUUAGGAUCGUAUAGCGUUUAUCCAUCGGAUCCAUGGGUAAAUGAUAGAUAUUGUGUAGGCGUGGUGCUUAUACCGUAUUUAUCUGCGAUUGUACCCAAUAUGCCAGAUCGUGGGGUAGUUCGUGAUAGUGACAGCUUCAUUGAUUCUUAUAUAGUCCCCCUCUCGUGUAUUGGGCUAGCAGAGCAACAUUAUUGCAGGGGAGUGAUUGCUAUGUUUCUCAUAUUCCUUGCUAAUAUCACUAUGCAUGGGCGUAGUCUUGUCUCGCAAUGAUUGCUAAGUAUGCUUGCACUAACUAUGAUGAUGCUGGGCUAUAUAGUUGAUAAUAACUUAGGGAAUAUUCUUGUAGUUCGUUCUAAUACCAUGCUAAUGACUUUCUAGAGUAUCUAAUUGAGGUGCUUAUCAUAUUUAUUAUGUGGCUAGAUCAGAUUAGUUAUCCUUGUCACUAUUCAUUAUUUCAUAUAUCUUUUAUGUGACACUUAUCCCUAUAUGAUGAGUUAGAUAUAAUGUUCUCAAUUCUACAUGCGAUGAUAGAUGCUCAAUCUCAUAUUCUAUUCUGUAAUCAAUAGUGAUGAUUGCUAAUCCCUUCCCAGUGGUAAAAAUAUAAAUAACGAUACCUGGAAUACUUCUCGGUUAAAAUGCUGCAUCGGUAUUAAUCUGUGCGCUUGCAGAUCCCAUUCAUUAUUCAUUUAGAAGAGCAAUUGCACAUUUCAAUACCGCGUCUCUUAUAUCAUGCUGGGGAUGACAACUUGGCUUAAGUGGUGUGAGGGAUAGGUUUGGCAUUUUUGGCACCGUUACUAGAUUUAGAGAACUUAGUCUACUUUUGGUAAUGAUGUUAAGAAUACCCAACAUGGAGUCCCUCGGACAUGCCUGGUAUACCGAGGGAAGUCGUCGAGCACUCCUUGGACAUCCGAGCCGGCUCCAAACCCGUGAAGCAACGCCUGCGCCGAUUCGACGAAGAAAAGCACCGAGCCAUCGGGGAGGAGAUCCACAAGCUACUGGCGGCCGGAUUCAUCAAGGAGGUAUUCCAAAAGGCCAAAAGAAGUCGCGAGCUGGUCGGAUUCUUUCAUCUUGAUUUGGUGGUAACCAGAAUAAGCAUCAAGAAAAGAUAAAAUUUCACAUCCCGCGGUCGAGUCAACUAUCUGAUCAAUACGAGGCAAUGGAAAAGGGUUUUUCGGACAAGCUUUAUUUAAACUAGUGUAGUCUACACACAUCCUCAACUUCCCAUUUUUCUUUUUAACUAGCACAGGGUUAGCUAACCACUCGGGAUGGAAUACCUCCUUGAUGAAUCCGGCCGCCAGUAGCUUGUGGAUCUCCUCCCCGAUGGCUCGGCGCUUUUCUUCGUCGAAUCGGCGCAGGCGUUGCUUCACGGGUUUGGAGCCGGCUCGGAUGUCCAAGGAGUGCUCGACGACUUCCCUCGGUAUACCAGGCAUGUCCGAGGGACUCCAUGUUGGGUAUUCUUAACAUCAUUACCAAAAGUAGACUAAGUUCUCUAAAUCUAGCAACGGUGCCAAAAAUGCCAAACCUAUCCCUCACACCACUUAAGCCAAGUUGUCAUCCCCAGCAUGAUAUAAGAGACGCGGUAUUUAAAUGUGCAAUUGAUCUUCUAAAUGAAUAAUGAAUGGGAUCUGCAAGCGCACAGAUUAAUACCGAUGCAGCAUUUUAACCGGGAAGUAUUCCAGGUAUCGUUAUUUAUAUUUUUACCACUGGGAAGGGAUUAGAAAUCAUCACUAAUGAUUACAGAAUAGAAUAUGAGAUUGAGCACCUAUCAUUGCAGGUAUAAUUGAGAACAUUAUAUCUAACUCUUCAUACAGGGAUAAGUGUCACAUAAAAGAUAUAUGAAGUAAUAAUAGUGACAAGGAUAAUUAAUCUGAUCUAGCCACAUAAUAAAUAUGAUAACCACCUCAAUUAGAUACUCUAGAAAGUCAUUAGCAUGGUAUUAGAACGAACUACAAGAAUAUUCCCUAAGUUAUUCUUAACUAUAUAGUCUAGCAUUAUCAUAAUUAGUGCAAGCAUACUUUGCAAUCAUUGUGAGACAAGACUACGCCCAUGCAUAGUGAUAUUAGCAAGGAAUAUGAGAAACAUAGCAAUCACUCCCCUGUAAUAAUGUUGCUCUGCCAGCCCAAUACACGAGAGGGGGACUAUAUAAGAAUCAAUGAAGCUGUCACUAUCACGAACUACCCCACGAUCUGGCAUAUUGGGUACAAUCGCAGAUAAAUACGGUAUAAGCACCACGCCUACACAAUAUCUAUCAUUUACCCAUGGAUCCGAUGGAUAAACGCUAUACGAUCCUAAGCAUGUAUAUAGAUCCAAUCUAACUAAGCCAAGUACAUAACUAUGAUAAACUAAGAACAAUAUAAUCUUGAAUAUAAGCAAGUAGAGCAAAGUCAUAAGCAAUAUAUUGAAUUAGAACAAAGUCAUAUUCAUAAUAUUGAAGAACAAAGAUAAUUAGAAAGCAAUUAGAAGCACAAUUAGAGAAUUACCAAGAAUCCUCCUGACAGAUCCGGAAACCAAUCGAAAAUUGACUCCUAGUUCUAAUCCUAUGUAGCUAUGCUAAUCUAGAUGUCUAAUUGAUGUGGUGGCUCUAAUCUUGAUCAGGGGCUUCUUCUCCCUUGAUGGAACAAUGAAUUAGGGUUGAGAGGCUCUCUCCUCCAGGGGCCAGGGGGUUUGGUUUUAUAGUCCCUCCAAGUGAAUAUGGGCCAUUGGAUCAAACCGACAUAGAUUGUAUGGUUUAGAUUCAUCCUUUAGGUCGGUGGAGAUCUCCCGCAAAGCAGAGUCCUGAUUAGACUUGGGGGCAGGGUGGGUGCCCAGUAGGACAGGGCGGGCGCCCUGUCUCUGGCCCCAUUUCGCCUCCGCUUCGGUCUCGUGGCUUCUGGAGUCUUCUAGAUGUAAGAUAAUUGCGCAGCACGUUAAUAUCUUUACGUAAUCCCGAAAUGUGGGCCUUUCUAUCAUAUUUCCUGAUAACCCCCUGCAGAAAUAGACAAAUACCAAAACUCGUGGAAUUCUGUCAGAUAAAACCCUAAGUUUGGUUUUGAUUUCAUUUGGAUCCUUUUCUUUAUUUAUUUGAUAAUUAAAUUUGAUACUUAAGGACCGUCAACACUCCACGCAAAUACGUCGGCGUUUGCGCGGAGAAAGUCGACGAGCACCACUUCCUAUUUGGGGUCGAGGCUGGAGCUGAUCCUCAACGCCCGGCCUUCAGAGGUCCCGGGGUCAAGGAAGACUAGCUUGGUCUCCUCUGCUGGCUCAAAGCUCCCGGCGUGGCGCUUGGGGUCGGGGACUUCCUGGUCGCAGUCGCCGAGGCCGGUGAGGAUGGCUAGAGACUCAGCCAGAGCCUCGGCCUGCUCGAUGCACUCGACGUCGCAUUGAUAGGCGUGCUGGCUGGUCGUGCUGACAGUGAUGAUGCCUUUUGGCCCUGGCAUCUUGAGCUUGAGGUAGGUGUAGUUGGGGCCAUGAACUUGGCGUAGCACGGUCGUCCCAAGAUUGCGUGGUAGGUUCCUGGGAACCCGACCAUGUCGAAAGUGAGGACCUCCCAUCUAAAGUUGUCGGGGGUCCCAAAGCAGACGGGCAGAUCGAUCUGCCCGAGGGGGUGGGCACGAUGUCCCGGCACCACUCCGUGGAAUGGCGAAGUGUCGUUCCUCAGCAAGGACUUACUGAUCCUCAUGAGUGCCAGAGUCUCGGCAUAAAGGAUGUUGUGACCGCUUCCUCCGUCCAUCAACACCUUAGUGAGACGAGUCUCGGCGAUGAUGGGGUCGACUAUCAAGGGAUAACCCCCGGGAUUGGGGAUCCGGUCUAGGUGAUCCUAUAGGUCGAACGUGAUUGCGCUCUCGGACCACUAGAGGUACGAGGGCGCGGCCGUGCUGACGGCGCAGACUUCCUGGAAUUCACGUUUCCUCUGACUCGUGGUGAGGCGAGCCGCGUGUCCCCCAAAGAUCAAGAGACAGUUCUAGAUCUUGGGAAAACCUUCCCCUUGAGGGUCGUCGUCCUUGGGGGGCUCUUCAGCACCCUCCUUGGAGAUGAGGUCGGUGUAGUACCGAUGCAGGACAGUGCACUCCUCUAGGGUGUGCUUGGUUGGUCCCCUGUGAUAGGGGCAUGGCUUCUUCAACAUCUCGUCGAAUAGAUCGGGGCCGGCAGGAGCCCGCUUGGGGUUCUUGCGAUCUGCCGCAGCGACCAGAUUGUCGUCCGGCUGGCCCUGCUUCCCCUUGCGGCCUUUCUUCUUCUUCCUGGGGUCACGAGAGCCUGAGGCCUCGGUGGUCUCGGCCUUUUGUUUCCCCUUGGCUGUGCUGUUGGAGAAAAUAGCACCAACUGCCUCUUCGCCUGAGGCAAAGUUGGUGGCGAUGUCGAGCAGCUGGCUGGUGCUCGUGGGGGUCUUGCGACCGAGUUCGUGUACCAGCUCUUUGCAGGUGGUACCGGAGAUGAAGGCCCAGAUGACGUCAGAGUCUGUGAUGUUGGGGAGCUCGGUGCACUGCUUGGAGAAACGCCUGAUGAAGUCUCGGAGGGACUCAUCGGGCUUCUGCCUGCAACUCCUGAGGUCCCAGGAGUUCCCAGGGCACACAUAUGUGCCCUGGAAGUUCCCGACGAAGAUCUUGACCAGGUCGGACCAGUCAUGGAUCAUGCGCUCAGGGAGGUGCUCGAGCCAUGCUCUGGCCGUAUCGGCCAGAUGCAGUGGGAGGUUGCGGAUGAUGAGCAGGUCAUCGUCCGCUCCGCCUAGCUGGCACGCUAGGCGGUAAUCUGCUAGCCAGAGCUCAGGGUUCGUCUCCCCGGAGUACUUGGUGAGGUUGGCGGGCUGUCGGAAUCACGCCGGGAACUUGGCUCUACGUAUAGCCUCACUGAAGACGCGCGGGCCCGGAGGCUCUGGUGAUGUGCUGCGGUCGUGGUAGGGGUCGUAUCUUCCGCCUCAGCGCGGUCGAUAGCGCCGAGACUCGGCCUCUUCCCUGUCACGCCGCCUGGCCUCGAGAGUGGCUCGAACAUCCGCGUCAGCCCCGACACGAUUGUGGACUGAUGGGGCCCUAUUGCCCCCUUGCAGGUUAAGGGCUAACGGGCCCUGUACUGUUGGUGCCUUGUUAGGAGAGGGUCGGUCCUCUUGCCGCCUCGUGCAGUGGGACUGUGAUGCAGAACUUUCCGCGUUCUGCACCACAGCUUGCUCCAGGAGGCCACGUAGCCCCUGGCGCACUCUCCUUCCUUCAGGAGUCGAUGGUUCGGGCAUCGCCCUAAGGAGGAGUGCGGCGGCCAUUACAUUCUGGCUGGCCGUGCUGAAGACCGGGGCGUCUCCCCCUUGGUGACGUCUCGGGCGCGGCGUCUAGUCUCACCUCUGUCUCCAUGGCCAGAUGGGUCUCGGACCAGGCCUCGCGGAGUUGUCGGAGGCGUGCACGUUCUUCUUCGAGUCUGGCCUCUAGCUCAUCGAGCUGCUCGAGGUCAGGGCAAUGUCCCCCUGCGGGGGCUGAUGCUGCCCCGCGGGCUCUAGGAUCGGUUCCCGGAGUCAGGUUAGCUGGUGGACUGGUGUUCCCUUGCCUAGAGGGCCCUAUACCCCCUUGAGCGUUGUGGGGGGCUCCUUCGACCUCAACGUUGAAGCACUCUCUUGAUGGGUCAUAGCUCCCGUCGUCGGAGUCGGAAUAGCCGAGGCAGUAGUUGCUAGCCUCCAAGAAGCGCAUGAAGGUUUCCGGGUCGCCACACCCGGAAAAGUCAACGCCCGCCCACUCAUCAUCGCCCGAGGUAGGGUCCUCUGGGUAUGACGAAACAGGUGGCGAAGCCAGGAGAUCUAGGGUAGACCUGAGAUGGUGCCCUGGAAGUUCCGUGUACGCACUUAAUGAAGUGCUCACGGAAGAGGCGUAAGUGGCGGCCGCGUUCCUGAGUCCAAAAGGGGGCUCAGGAGGCGCCGCUGUCUCUCCUCCAUCCACAGGUGGAGGGGGACGGGACGUUGAGGCCCCUUUAUCCCCCUUCUGGGGAACGGGCGGGAGUCGCACCUUCCCCUUUAGUGGGGGUGGAACAGGAGGUUGUGAUGGUCCCCUGUCGGUUCGUGAAGCGGAGCCUGACGUUCUACGGGCCCUUCCUCUAGCGCGUGUCGAAUCGGAGGAAUGGGCGAUCUGUUGAGGAAUAUGCAGGGGAAGGGCCGGACGGACCCUGGCCUCAGUGGUAGGGUCAGAGAUCCUGGAUCUCUGACGCCCCCGCCGGGCACCCUUCGCAUGGUGUCCCGAGUGCCUCCCACACACUGACUGUGGUGGGAUCGGCUCAGGACGCAGCUCGGUACCACCACGUGGUGGAAGGAGGACCAUGUCAUAGCCGGAGCCGAGGGACAUGAACUCCAAACUCCCAAACAUCAUGAUGGUGCCAUGGCGAAGUGGGUGAGACCCGUCUGCCAUCCACGCCUUCCCAGUAGGGAUUGGGGAAUGUCAAGCAAAAGGCCCCUACCUAGCGCGCCAAUUGUCAGCGUCUAGACUCGUGGUCUAGACACAAACGGGUGAGAGUAUGCGUGACUACCUAAGCCUGGAUGGUGAUGCAAGUGAAACACAGAGGGUUUAUACUGGUUCGGGCCUGGAAUGCCCUACGUCCAGUGAGAUCGGGGAUCUGUAUAGCCUUUGUUGGGUAUUCUUAACAUCAUUACUAAAAGUAGACUAAGUUCUCUAAAUCUAGUAACGGUGCCAAAAAUGCCAAACCUAUCCCUUACACCACUUAAGCCAAGUUGUCAUCCCCAGCAUGAUAUAAGAGACGCGGUAUUGAAAUAUGCAAUUGCUCUUCUAAAUAAAUAAUGAAUGGGAUCUGCAAGCGCACAGAUUAAUACCGAUGUAGCAUUUUAACCGGGAAGUAUUCCAGGUAUCGUUAUUUAUAUUUUUACCACUGGGAAGGGAUUAGAAAUCAUCACUAAUGAUUACAGAAUAGAAUAUGAGAUUGAGCAUCUAUCAUUGCAUGUAUAAUUGAGAACAUUAUAUCUAACUCAUCAUACAGGGAUAAGUGUCACAUAAAAGAUAUAUGAAAUAAUAAUAGUGAUAAGGAUAACUAAUCUGAUCUAGCACCUCAAUUAGAUACUCUAGAAAGUCAUUAGCAUGGUAUUAGAACGAACUACAAGAAUAUUCCCUAAGUUAUUCUUAACUAUAUAGUCUAGCAUUAUCAUAAUUAGUGCAAGCAUACUUAGCAAUCAUUGCAAGACAAGACUACGCCCAUGCAUAGUGAUAUUAGCAAGGAAUAUGAGAAACAUAGCAAUCACUCCCCUGUAAUAAUGUUGCUCUGUCAGCCCAAUACACGAGAGGGGGACUAUAUAAGAAUCAAUGAAGCUGUCACUAUCACGAACCACCCCACGAUCUGGCAUAUUGGGUACAAUCGCAGAUAAAUACGGUAUAAGCACCACGCCUACACAAUAUCUAUCAUUUACCCAUGGAUCCAAUGGAUAAACGCUAUACGAUCCUAAGCAUGUAUAUAGAUCGUAUCUAACUAAGCCAAGUACAUAACUAUGAUAAACUAAGAACAAUAUAAUCUUGAAUAUAAGCAAGUAGAGCAAAGUCAUAAGCAAUAUAUUGAAGUAGAACAAAGUCAUAUUCAUAAUAUUGAAGAACAAAGAUAAUUAGAGAGCAAUUAGAAACACAAUUAGAGAAUUACCAAGAAUCCUCCUGACAGAUCUGGAAACCAAUCGAAGAUUGACUGCUUCUAGUUCUAAUCCUAUGUAGCUAUGCUAAUCUAGAUAUCUAAUUGAUGUGGUGGCUCUAAUCUCGAUCAGAGGCUUCUUCUCCCUUGAUGGAACAAUGAAUUAGGGUUGAGAGGCUCUCUCCUCCAGGGGCCAGGGGGUCUGGUUUUAUAGUCCCUUCAAGUGAAUAUGGGCCCUUGGAUCAAACUGACAUAGAUUGUAUGGUUUAGAUUCAUCCUUUAGGUCGGUGGAAACUUCCCGCAAAGCAGAGUCCUGAUUGGACUUGGACAGGGGGCGGGCGCCCAAUAGGACAGGGCGGGCGCCCUGCCUCUGGCCCCGUUUCGCCUCCGCUUCGGUCUCGUAGCUUCUGGAGUCUUCUAGAUGUAAGAUAAUUGCGCAGCACGUUAAUAUCUUUACGUAAUCCUGACAUGUGGGCCAUUCUUCCAUAUUUCCUGAUAACCCCCUGCAGAAAUAGACAAACACCAAAACUCGUGGAAUUCUGUCAGAUAAAACCCUAAGUCUAUGUAACAGAACCGACCAAAUUAUAAGAGAUUAAGCCUAAUAGUGACCAUUUGCAUAGUCGAACCAUCACGCUUAAGCCCAUAUAAUCCCGGUAGUCCGUGAAAUCUCGAAGGAUUUCAAACCACACAUCGCAUACAGCCAAGAUCGUAAUAAGUUUAGCGGCCGCCAUCCAUAAGUACAUUCAGAUUUCAACAUUCAUGAAACACAUCGGAGUACUUAAGUUAUUACAAACCAAGUUCUUCAAGUAGCGGAAGCUUCAUAGUUCGAAAUUACAACACACACGAUAAGUCUGAUACCGUGCCAUAGUUUGGUCAUUCCCACAAAAGCAAAGGAAGAGACAGAGUGACCAUCGCCCUUGGUCUAGUCAUCACCCAUAGCUGGGUACAGACAGAGGAUGCAAUAACCAUAGAACAUGUGACCAUCUGCAAAACAACAUGGGAAUAGAACCCUGAGUACGAGAAGGUACUCAGCUAGACUUACCCGCCAUAAACUUAAAAUAAAGACUCAUCAAGGAUCAUGAAGGCUAUUUAGUGGGGUAGCUGACAACCAUUUUGCAAAGACCGCAAGGUUUUAUUACCCUAACCUACAUAAAUCUUUUCUUCUUUUAAUCUGCUCAAGUUGAAAGUAUCAUUACCUAUUAUCUAGGUUUGCUCCUGUGCUAUUACAAGCAAGUAUGAGACUAUGAUAGUACCUCAUCAUAGCAUUUCUUAAACCAUUCAUCAUUAUAACCCGAGUGUUCCAUAGUCCUUACUACGAGGACGAAGCUCAUGUCAAGUGCUCACUAUCCAGGAGCGAUGGCAAUUCGAAUCGAUUUCUAACCAGCUGGCGAGGUAUUCUCCACACAAACCACACUCACUGAUCAAGUGAGCUACAGAUCACCGUAUUACACUAUCCAGGACCAAUUCGCGGGUUCGGCAGGCACCGCCAGUACCCGAGGACCGUUCCGGCGACCGAGGUAUCCAAGGUAUACCAAGUGUUGACACCGUUUUUGGGCACGUGUCUAGGAUGGCAGGAUAAGGUGGCAGUACGAUGUUUACAAAGUGGGUUGCCGAUGAGGAUGGUUGCCGAUGAGGGAGAAGUUGAACGUGACUAAGUCCACAUGCAGUAAUAUGGUGCCGAUGGCUAGAUAAGAAAGUCUGCCGAUGACUAUGGCAAAGGGUUUGCCGAUGAUGCAAAGAGGGAGUCCGGAAGCUGCCGGUCGUUAUGUGGAGGAGUUUCGGUUUGUCACGAGGGAUAGUUUUGUUAUUUCCUUAGUUAUUUGCAUCAUUUUGUAUACGGAUUCCGUGUAAUUUGGAAUUCGAAUUCUAAUCGUGUCUGGUUGUAGCUCUUUGAGCAGGGUAUAAAUAUAGACCCUAGGGCCUUGUAAUAAAAAAUCAAUCAAUGAAUCAAACACACGUUUUUACUCAUAUUCCAGAAUUUACUUUUCGACGACUUCGUCAUACUUUUUCCUUUUGUUACGAGUUCUUAGGAAUUCGUCGACUUAAGCUCGGCGUGUUCUCAAGUUCCGCGUGAGUACCUCUUAGCCGUGACAUCCGGGCGCAUCGCUGUUGUCAGGACUAAAGUAUUCGAGUUAUCACCUUUGCCGAUAGCAAGGUCAAAUCGGCUGGCACGCCUUAACGUUUGAAUCGGGUAUUAGCCCUUUGUGUUUGCAGAUCAGUUUUGCAUCAACACAUCUUUUGGCACGCCCAGUGGGACAGGAUUCAAGAUCAAGAUCAACAUGUCGAUCUCUGACCUCGAUCAAGAGAACGUCAUCCCCGUGACGGAGGCCAACCUCAAGGAUGAGCAGAAGCAAGCUAUUGCCCAAGCCAUGGAAGAGUUCAAGCAGCAAUGCCUGAGGUCUUUCAGCAUAAACAGGAGCGGCGAAGUGGUCUAGAAAGAUGCACUGCCGGCACCACGGCAGGUUACCUUUGACGCCAAUCCUGGCAAGCUUCAAGAUAUGGUUGACAAUGCCAUCAAUCGAGCAUUGAUUAACCAAGCUGGUGUACUGUCUAAUACGGUUUUCAAUGCCGUGGCAAGAACUUUCAAGGAAGGACAAAUUCCACCAGAUUAUGUGGGCCCCUCCCAUCAUCAGCCAACGGCACCAGAGGUCACGGCUCCAUCGGCUGCCUUGACGACUGCAAGUGCACAAUCUGCCGUCCCUCCAAGUACAUCGGGGACUACUGGUGCACUAUCUAUGCCGAUGACAACCAACCCACAAAUUUCAGUUGGGCAGCAUAAACUGACAACAGAUAUGUUGGCAUCGGCAAUGUCAGGGUUGACUCUUCCUUCCAACUGGUGGGGUUACGGUAUGCCUCCAGAGUUGACACCGGGAACAUCACAAAUAACUGACAUGAGGGGCAAAACUCCUAUGACAUCGGCACCUCCCAAUGCGCCGGUGAACUAGAGUCCUCGGUACACCACAACUACUACUGCAAGGCCUCACACUGGAAAUCCUCAAGAUUCAAUGUUCCAGAUGCCCAACGCAUCGGCAGAGUCAAUGCUGAUGCAACAGAGGUCUAUGGCCCAGUCGGGGUAUGUCAAUUCAACGACGGUACCCAAUUACCAAUCAUCGGCAGCACCUAUGCCGAUGAACGCUAAUAAUGGAUGGCUUGGAUAGCAAGCCUUUCCACAAUUGCCCCAGCAGAGUUACCCGACUACAGGGUUCCAGCAAGGGCAGGUCUAUCCCGGGUUCCAAGGUCAGGGGAUUCCCAACCAGCCAAUGAAUUUUGGACAGCAACUCGGAGGACAGCCAAUCGGUGGACAGCAGUUUGGUGGUCCGCAGAUUGGAGGACAGGUGAUCAAUACAAUGUUCCGUGCAGAUCACGUCCCGAACAGACACGUGGAGGUUCGCCACCAAGUGCCAGAUCGGCAGCCGCCUCAUCGGCAAGAUGCCGAUGCAUAUUGGGCCGAUAAGAUUGCUGAAGUAAUGAGGGAACAAUUUGGGAUAAAACCCAAAGUCAACACUUAUUCUUAUCGGACACCGUAUCCUCCCGCGUAUGAUUUGAUCCCGCUUCCACAUCGGUACAAGGUACCGGAUUUUACAAAGUUUUCCGGGCAGGACGACACGUCAACCAUGGAGCAUGUCAACAGGUUCAUCAUUCAAUGUGGAGAGGCUGGUAACAGGGACGAAUUGAGGGUUCGUCUAUUUUCAUCAUCAUUGUCUGGAUCGGCCUUUACUUGGUUCAUAUCAUUACCUCCCAACUCAGUAAUUACUUGGGCCGAUCUAGAGAAGCAAUUCCACAAAUACUUCUUCUCGGGGGUUCAUGAGAAGAAGAUCACCGACUUGGUCAAGUUGAGGCAACGUAAUGAUGAGUCGGUUGAGGGUUUUGUGCAGAGGAUACGAGAGGUCAAGAAUAAAUGCUAUAGCUUGGUUCUGGAUGAUCGGCAGCUAGCCGAUUUGGCUUUCCAGGGUUUGUUGCCACAUAUCAGGGAUAAGUAUGCCUCUCAGGAGUUCGAAAGUUUAAGUCAUUUGGUGUAGCGGAUUUCUGAUCAAGACAUCAAGCCUUUCGAGCCUAAAAGAGCAUGGAAUAGGAAAGUGUCAUUUGUCAAUGAAGCAACAAGCUCAGAUUCUGAUGAAGAACCAGUAAUCGGCUUGGCAGAGUGGGUAAAAAACAAGAAGCCGAUGUCUUGUCCUUUUGGGCAAAAGGAACCAGAGAAGUUUGCUUUUGACACCGCUAAGGCUGAUAGGAUAUUUGACUUUCUACUUCAGGAAGGUCAGAUCAAACUGUCACCUAACCAUGUGAUCCCAUCGGCAGAAGAGUUGAAGAGGAUGAGAUAUUGCAAGUGGCAUAAUGCAACUUCCCAUGACACCAACGAGUGCAAAGUAUUCAGACAGCAGCUGCAAUCGGCUAUAGAGUCAGGGAGAAUCAAGUUUGACAGUUCCAAAGCCCAGAAGCCGAUGAAGAUAGACCAACAUCCUUUCCCGACAAACAUGUUGGAUGCUAAGGGGAAGGCUAAGGUCUUAACAUCGGAGACAGCUGAGAAGAGUGCAUCGGUAGAUCCUCAGCAUCAAGUUACUACUGCCGAUGCAAGAAGUAAGGGCUUGGUCCAGGAAGGAACUAGCUCAGGAAGGCCUCCUCGAUCUGGUAUCGUCAUAACUCAUAGAAGGCCUCGAGAAAAAUGGCAACAACGGGAAGAUCGGUAUCGGCGCCAGCAGGAAGAUUAUCGACGGGAAGAAGAAAGACGCCGACAGGAGUGGAAUCGGCACAGGGAUCAUUGGAAUUGUCCAUUCUUCAUCCAUUGUUGGGAGGAAAAUAUCAAGCUUCCUACUGUCAGAGACUGCCCUGAGUGCAAUGGUUAUGAUCGGUACGAUGGGAUCGAUCGGCAUUAUCAUGAUGAUGAACGGCGAUUUAAUGGGCCGAUCAGAGGAAGGGUGUCAGUUCAUGACCGGCUGGGGGGCAGAUUUAGUGGGCACGACAGACUUAGUGACCGUGUCCAGUAUUUUCCCAGGAACCAAGAAGAGCUCGAGGAAAUGGCUGAUGCGCGGGUUCCCGAUGAAUUCAUAUUUUGCAGGGAUGCUAACACGCAUCGUAUGGAGUCAAGGGAGAACCGACGCCCGACGGCAAGGCAAAGGCCACUUCCUCCAUGGUGCCCUGGAGGAUUAACCAAGACACAGAAAAGGAGAUUGCAACGUGAAAGGCAAGAAGAGCUAAACAAGGGAGAGAACUCUGGAAGUCGGCAGCCGUCAGACACUAAGAGGGAAGGUCCAUCGGCAGGCGUCAACAUGGUCUUCAUGUUGCCGAUGGAGUUUCUUGCACCAGCCAGUGAUGAUGAGUUGGAAUUUUCUGAUCAGAUAGCUCAGUUGGCUCUGGAUCCGAUGACGGCUAUCUUUGAGAAACCUGCCGAUGACGAGAGGCAGCAUCUUAAAGCUCUGUUCCUUAAGGGAAGGGUUGAUGGGCAGCCAAUGACCAAGAUCCUAGUUGAUGGUGGAGCUGCUAUUAAUAUUAUGCCGUAUGCAGUAUAUCGGAAGCUUGGGAAAGGGGAUCAAGAUUUGACCAAGACCGAUAUGAUGCUCAAAGACUUUGAAGGAAACGUGUCUCCAGUCAAGGGGGCGAUAUGUGCAGAGUUGACCAUCGGCAGCAAAACCUUGCCGACAACUUUUUUCGUGAUCAGCGAAAAAGGUGCUUACAACUUAUUAUUGGGAAUAGAUUGGAUUCAUGCCAAUUGUUGUAUCCCAUCUACAAUGUAUCAAUGCUUGGUUCAGUGGGUAGGUGACAAGAUUGAGAUUGUCCCAGGAGAUUCUUCUUAUGUUAUCGCAUCGGCAGAAGCGGAUACUUACGAAAGGACCAGGUGCAUUUCAGGAGAAGUUUGGGAGAAAGAUUUUCUCAAAGUUGCCGAUUAUGAGAUUCCACCGAUCCAAGCAGUCGGUUCUGAUGACAGUUUUUAAUGGAUAGAUUCGCCGAUGAUGGAAAAUUAGGCCAGGGAUUCACAUCGGCCGAUGAUUUGGUAGAAGUAGAUAUAGGUAGUGGUGAUAAGCCUAGGCCUACUUUUAUUAGUGCUAAAUUAGAUCCUGAGAGUAAGCAACAAUUGACUAGUUUGUUAAAGGAAUAUAAAGAUUGCUUUGCUUGGGAUUAUACCGAGAUGCCUGGUUUAGACCGAUCAAUUGUUGAACAUCGGUUACCCAUCAAGUCUGGAUUUCGGCCACAUCAGCAACCAGCCCGCCGAUGUAAUCCUAACAUUCUACCUGAUAUUAAGGCCGAAAUCACCAAACUUAUUGAAGCUAAGUUUAUUCGGCAGUGUCGGUAUGCCGAGUGGAUUUCCAAUGUUGUUCCGGUUUACAAGAAGAACGGGAAGCUUCGGGUGUGCAUUGAUUUCAGGAAUCUCAAUAAAGCUACGCCGAUGGAUGGAUACCCAAUGCCUGUCGCUGAUCUACUGGUUGAUGCUGCGGCUGGUCAUCAGGUCAUCAGCUUCAUGGAUGGUAAUGCAGGUUACAAUCAAAUAUUCAUGGCGGAGGAGGAUAUUCCAAAAACCGCAUUCAGGUGUCCUGGUCAUGUUGGGCUAUUUGAAUGGAUAGUCAUGACUUUUGGGUUGAAGAAUGCUGGUGCUACCUAUCAAAGGGCUAUGAAUUUUAUAUUUCAUGAGUUCAUCAGCAAGCUCGUGGAGAUUUAUAUUGAUGAUGUGGUGGUUAAGUCUGGAGAUUUCUCAAAGCAUCUUGCCGAUUUACAAAAAGUGUUAGAGUGCACAAGGAAGCAUGGAUUGAAGAUGAAUCCCAACAAGUGUGCAUUUGGUGUAUUGGCAGGGCAGUUUCUUCGUUUCAUGGUACAUCAGAGGGGUAUUGAAAUUAGUCGAAGAUCUAUUGAUGCCAUCAAUAAAAUAGUGGCCCCUACCAACAAAACCGAGCUCCAAUCCUUGAUCGGCAAGGUAAAUUUUAUCAGGAGAUUUAUAUCGAAUUUGUCUGGUAGGAUUCGUGCUUUCAGUCCUCUUCUUAAAUUGAAAGCCGAUCAAGAGUUUAUUUGGGGAGAAGAACAGCAGUUGGCUCUGGAUGAAAUCAAGAAGUAUCUAGUAAAUCCUCCAGUUCUAUUUCCACCUCAACAAGGGAAGCCCUUCAGAUUGUAUUUAUCUACCGAUGGAUCGGUUAUCGGUUCAGCUUUAGUUCAAGAAUUUGAAGGGAAAGAAAGGGUAAUUUAUUAUUUGAGUAGGAGGUUGAUUGAUGCUGAAACCAGGUAUUCGGCCAUUGAGAAACUAUGCUUAUGCUUAUAUUUUUCAUGUAUCAAGCUGAGACAUUACCUGUUAUCGGCCAAAUGCACUGUUGUUUGCAAAGAUGACGUGGUCCGAUACAUGCUAUCUAUGCCGAUUAUGAGUGGUAGGAUCGGUAAAUGGAUUUUAGCGCUGUCGGAGAUCGAUUUGCGUUACGAAUUGGCUAAGGCAGUCAAAGGGCAGAUUAUGGCCGAUUUUGUGACUCAGCAUUGUGGUCUAGUGGAAACCUUGGAAAUUGUACCCUGGACGCUCUUCUUUGAUGGAUCUACCUGUGACCGGGGGGCAGGAAUCGGCAUUGUAUUAGUUUCCCCUAAGGGGAGGAAGUAUGAGUUUUCCUUGCCGAUUGUUGCCACAUCAACAAAUAAUCAGGCUGAGUAUCAGGCUCUGAUCAAGGGAUUGGAGUUGUUAAGAGAAGUUCAUGUUGAUGCUGUUGAAAUAUUCGGGGAUUCUAUGUUGGUUAUAAAUCAAUUGGCCGGAAGCUAUGAAUGCCGAAGUGAAGUUCUCAUAACUUAUUUCGAGAGAAGUAUGCAACUGUUAAAGGAAUUCAAGGAUUUCUGAUUGGAGCAUGUUCCCCGAUUGCAUAAUGAAGACGCUAAUCGGUUAGCUCAGCAUGCCUCGGGAUAUCAGCCAAUGAUUAAUGCGACAUCGGCAGUCGGUGCCGGUGAUUGGAGGAAAGAAAUUAUUGAUUAUCUAAAAGAUCCAUCCAAAAAAGUUGAAAGACGGGUUCGAUUUCAAGCAACCAAGUAUGUGCUCCUUGAAAAUGAAUUGUAUUAUCGAACUAUCGACAGAAUUCUUCUCCGAUGCUUGGGUGAUGAUGAAGCUAGAAGUUUGAUGGGGGAAAUCCAUGAAGGAGUGUGUGGAGCGCAUCAGUUAGCUUUUAAGAUGAAGUGGAUGAUUCGAAGGAAUGGAUAUUUUUGGCCAACCAUACUUGAAGAUUGUUUUAAAUAUUUCAAGGGAUGUCAAGGUUGUCAAAAGUUUGGUAAUAUCCAGAGAGCACCCGCAUCGGCUAUGAAUCCUAUAAUAAAGCCUUGGCCGUUCCGGGGAUGGGCCAUCGAUCUGAUCGGCCAGAUUUAUCCACCAUCUAGCAAAGGGCAUAAGUUCAUUCUAGUUGCCACUGACUAUUUCACUAAGUGGGUUGAAGCUAUUCCUUUGAAGAAAGUCACAUCGGCCAAUAUGAUUGAUUUUGUGAAGGAGCAUAUUAUUUACCGAUUUGGGAUUCCCCAAACGAUUACUACCGAUCAGGGCACCAUGUUCACAUCGGGGGAGUUCGAUGAAUUCGCAAUCGGUAUGGGAAUUAAAGUGUUGAAUUCUUCUCCUUAUUAUGCUCAAGCCAAUGGGCAGGCCGAAGCGUCUAACAAAGGAAUUAUCAAGCUUGUUAAACGAAAGAUUGAAGAAAAUCCUAAGCGGUGGCAUACAUUAUUAAAUGAAGCAUUGUGGUCUUAUCGGAUGGCUUGUCAUGGAUCGACCAAAGUAUCACCCUAUCAAUUGGUGUAUGGACAUGAUGCAGUGUUGCCUUGGGAAAUUAAGGCUGGAUCUAGGCGAUUAUCUUUUCAAGAUCAAUUAACUUCCGAUGGUUAUGCCACUUUGAUGACCGAUGAAUUGGACGAUCUAGCAGGGCAUCGGUUAAAAGCUUUAAUGAGUAUAGAAGAAAAUAAGAAGAGAGUUGCUAGAUGGUAUGAUAAGAAAGUGAAGGCUAAAGAGUUUGCCGAUGGGGAUUUGGUAUGGAAAUUAAUUUUACCAAUUGGGACCAAAAGUUCGAAGUUUGGAAAGUGGUCUCCUAAUUGGGAGGGUCCUUAUCGGAUAAGUCGAUCGGCUCCUGGUAAUGCCUACAUUCUAGAAACCCUCGAAGGAAUUGAAUUUCCCAGAGCAUUAAACGGCAAAUAUUUAAAGAAGUACUACCCCAGUAUAUGGGUCGAUGCAUAGAAGUUUAGGUGCCGAUAACACUCCUAUCGGCUGGAUCCAAAUGCUUGGGGACAACACUUGGUGUUUCAAAAGUUUAGGUGCCGAUAACAGUCCUAUCGGCUAGACUAAAAGCUGAGGAAGCAGGAAAGCGCAGAUACAAUGCCGAUGGAAACUCUAUGUGUUAAGCAGCGUCUGGAUUGCCGAUAUAGCGCGUAGCCGAAUUUGGUUGGCUGCUUCUAUCUCCUUGAUGUCAUCAUCGGCAGAACCUUCUAUCGGCUUCAGCUUCUUCUUCAGUUGAAGUGCCUUGCGACCAUGAGCAUUUCGCUCGUGCUCAAGAAGCCUGAUGGUCUCUGGCAAUUGGCUCUCUUCCGGUUGGGCUUGGGACAGAGCGUUCUCUACUUCCUUGAGCUCCGCCAACAGGGAUUCUUUUCUUGCCGAUAGAUCGGAUAUCUUCUGCUUCAGCGCGUCUCCAGAAGAUCUCAGGAUACCGAUGUUCUUGCGCUUCUCAUCGGUCAAAAGCUUCUCUUUCCUCAUUUCAUCAGAGAGUUGAGUCUGAGCGGCUCUAUCGGCAAGCCGCCGAGAAGCUCUUUGGUACUGCAGCUGGCGACUCUCCAGAUGAGCGGCUUGGAACAGGAUUUCUUCAACAUCGGCUGGGAUUUGGCCUCUGAGAGUUCUGAACAGGGUCUUGGUAGGGUCGGAAUCAUCAACCAAUUGCGCUGUGUCCUGGUGAAGGAGAGCUGACAAUUCUUCCAGCCUGACCCUGAUCUCUGCCGAUGUGAUGCCGACCGUCUGAGAAGAGCUUGCUUCUUCACCUUCUUCUUCAGAGAGAUCGAUGGUGAAGGAGAACAGGCUAUCGGGAGAAUCUUGUUCCUGGGAGGGAAAGCAAAAUUAGCUCAUACUCAGAGAAUCGGCAAAUAGUGCUAACGGUAAACGGUGACUUACUUGCUUCAAGGCGAUCUCUUGUCUUUGACUGAGAAGUGCUGACGGAGCUGCAGGCUGAUCGGCCAAAGAUGCCGAUGGAGCUACAGGUUGAUCGGCUGAGAUUGCCGAUGGAACGAUAUCAACUAAAAGAAGACAAAAGGAGUUAUGAGACUAAAUAAGAAUAAGUUCAUCGGUAGCGAUAUUGUUAAAGUAUGUUACCUGGAGGAGGGACAACGGUUGUCUGAAUCGGGAGAACUGCCGAUGGUAUAACUGGACCCACCGGGCCAGUUGUUUGUUCACCCAUGUCAGCUGAUGUAUCUUCUGUUUGAGAUCCUUCCUGUUGGGGUUCUUCUAUCUGUGGUGCUUCCUGCAUAGGUGGGGGAGAUGGUGCUUGCUGCGGCUGGGCUUCUGGAGAAGAAGGAGAAGACUCCACCGGAAUUGGAGAUACCGGAGGAGGAGGGGGAGUUGCUACCUUCUAGCGCUUUGUUCCAGUCUUAGCACCCGUGGUGCCCUUUCUCUUGGGUUGGCUAGACUGGGGGGCAUCGGUACUCUUACACCUGGCUUUCGCCGAUGCGCCGGUUUGCUGCAAUAAUGAACAAGACUUUAUAAGCAUAAAUAUUGCCGAUAUAAAGAUAGUCAGCAUAAAGGAAAAGAUUUGACAAAUUGCCUUGAAAGCCCGCGCAAGAGUGGGAGCAGCAACCGUUGGUGAUGUCUGGGUUCUUCUGGUGGUGACUUUCCUGAGGCGUACACCCCGAUGCACGAUGGAAGCUAGAGUGGGAGCAUUGUGGCCGAUUGAGGAAAUCGGGCCUGAUGGAAACAAGUCGAUCGGCCUGCCACUCCUGCUAACCAAUGGAGGAAUAUUGUCAACCUGCAAAAGGAAUACAAGGGUAAGCUGCCGAUGGAGGUAAUAUUGAGAAAAUGAAACGUUGGUUUGAGUUACUUACAGUGUCAUCGGGAACUUCGUAUUCGGAGUCAAUCAUGCCGCGGUAUGAAAGUGCCGAUCUGCAGAAUAGAUGCUCUUUCCAUUCUGCCCACCAUAACUUGUAUGCCUGAGUGAUAAAAGCAGCCGGAACCCAUUCUGACAGAUCUACAUCUAUAUCGGCGUUUGGUGGUAGUUGGGCUGCUCGAGUCCACUCAAGAAGGUUGUUGAUAGUUUCUCUGGGUUUUAUCACAUCGGCAUAAGGAAGUGCAAUCGGCAACUGGCCGAAAGCUAACUGGCGAGCUAAUGCCGAUGGAUUGUAAAAUUCGUAAGUUUGAGGGGAGGUUUUUGUGCUACCAAAGAAAUUCACUGGAAUGAUUCUGGGAGUCACAAUUGCCAUCAUCACCUCAUUGUCCCUGUCGAGAGCUUCAUCAAAUGGAUUGAAGGUCAGAGGGAGCAUGCUAUCUGGGUCAUCAUAAGCCAACCAUGGUCGUUCGUCUCUGGUCAAACCCUCAUACAGAGUCUGGAAGAAUCGGCCGAUCUGAUCUGGAUUACCCCCUGAACCAGGCAGAACUAUGACAGCUUCGCCAAAGUUCAAGGGGGCGCGUGUUGCCGAUUCCUCUUCACCCAAUACAAGGUUUUCAGCUAUAUCUCUUGGGAAACGCUGUGUGAACAGGUUGAAGUUGAGACGCUUGUGCAGAUGCAGAUUGAGCCACAUGUUGACAAACCACCAGGGGCCUCCCAAGUUGCCAGUGGAUUGGCCGAGCAGAAGUUUCUGGGCUACUUGAUGGAGAAGGUGGUAAGCAGCGCCAAGCAAGUAUCGGCCGAGAGGGAAUCGGCCACCGUUAGCCAGUCUUUCUGCUGCCGAUAGGUAGACAGAAGUCGGUCCUGCCGAUUGACCACAGAAUACAAACUUGUCCAGCCACAUGUUCAGAAAGGUGGUUUGUUCCUUUAUGGUGACAGAUCCUUUCCCACGGUACUUUUGAAUGUACCCCGACCAACCGCCGAUAGCGCGAGUCUCCACUUUGGCACUAGGGGCAGUAUCAAAAAAGUGGGUGCUAUCGGCAGAAGAUAUAUCUAGACCAGUAAGCAUGGCUACAUCGGCAAGAGUAGGAGAAGCAGGGCCGUGGCCAAAGGCAAAAGCAUUGAGGGUGUCUAACCAAAAGUAGGAUGCAGCUAUCAGCAGUGACUCGUUCCUAUGCAUAUCGGCAAUGGACAAUCUAAUGCAUUGGGCUAGAUUCCUUUCACCCCACUGAACUUCAUUAGAGUUGCUGACCCUCAAGAACCAGUCUUUCCACCCUACAGUUGGGCUGGGCCAAGAGCGGAAGGUGUCCUUCCACAGAUCUAAGGAAAAAUUUUCGGCUCUGAAGGGGAUCCUGUUGGUUUCUGCGUUGAUAAGGUCAGUUGGAUCUGGGUCCCCUAGAGAGCCGAGGCAUUGAAGGUGUGGUUGAUCGGUGGGGAUGACAAUUUUGUUGGACAAUUCCUAGUGAUUUUGGGCAUAAAAAGAAAUACAAAGAGGAAAGAAAAGGAAGAUGUUCAGUAAAAUGAAUUGCGAGUGAACAGGGAUAUGAAGAAAAAUACAGAAGACGGGGUGGAGAUUUGACCUCAGGGACGACGAACCCGACGGCCAUCUUGCUGCGAAGGAAGCGUGUGAAGGCACCAGAGUUGGUGAAGAGGGGUACUUGUCGGAGACCUUAGGAGUUUUUGGUGGCGCCGCCGCUGGGAAAGUAAAGUUGGGUAGUAGAAUGGUGUGAUGGGGAAGGAGUACCCAAGAAGGAACUAUUUAUAGGACAAAAUGGGCAAGGGCAAACCCGACUUAUCUCUUUGCCGCAUCCGAGAAAUCCGAGGGUACUCAGGUGGAUAUGGUAACUGUUCGCACGGUAAUCCAGGGAUUGUGCAGGUGAUUUGACGGGAAGCGGUCAUUAUCUGAAGAUUUUACUGUGCGAGAUCUCCUGGUCGGUCCAUCGGCAAUAUUCUAUAACGGUCAUAUUGCCGAUGGGCGGAUAGAGGGGAAGUAACCGUUUGUGCGAAUAUCCUGGUCAGAACAUCGGCAGAUCUUUGUAACGGUAUUGUUGCCGAUGUACGACUGAGAAAAAUGCCCGUUUAGGAAGUUGGGGAUUUCGAGGAAUCUGCGGAGGAAUAGGAUCAGAGUUGUUCAGAUUGAGGUUGUCGGUUAGCAGAUUAGGAGCAUUAAUUGCGGGAAAAGGCAUCAUUACUGCAGAGAAUUUUGGAGCAUUAAUAGUUUUAUACUCCGAAACUGGGGGGCAUGUGUUGACACCGUUUUUGGGCACGUGUCUAGGAUGGCAGGAUAAGGUGGCAGUACGAUGUUUACAAAGUGGGUUGCCGAUGAAGAUGGUUGCCGAUGAGGGAGAAGUUGAACGUGACUAAGUCCACAGGCAGUAAUAUGGUGCCGAUGGCUAGAUAAGAAAGUCUGCCGAUGACUAUGGCAAAGGGUCUGCCGAUGAUGCAAAGAGGGAGUCCGGAAGCUGCCGGUCGUUAUGUGGAGGAGUUUCGGUUUGUCACGAGGGAUAGUUUUGUUAUUUCCUUAGUUAUUUGCAUCAUUUUGUAUACGGAUUCCGUGUAAUUUGGAAUUCAAAUUCUAAUCGUGUCUGGUUGUAGCUCUUUGAGCAGGGUAUAAAUAUAGACCCUAGGGCCUUGUAAUAAAAAAUCAAUCAAUGAAUCAAACACACGUUUUUACUCAUAUUCCAGCAUUUACUUUUCGACGACUUCGUCAUACUUUUUCCUUUUGUUACGAGUUCUUAGGAAUUCGUCGACUUAAGCUCGGCGUGUUCUCAAGUUCCGCGUGAGUACCUCUUAGCCGUGACAUCCGUGCGCAUCGCUGUUGUCAGGACUAAAGUAUUCGAGUUAUCACCUUUGACGAUAGCAAGGUCAAAUCGGCUGGCACGCCUUAACGUUUGAAUCGGGUAUUAGCCCUUUGUGUUUGCAGAUCAGUUUUGCAUCAACACCAAGGUUGGGCGCCGCGCCCUCGUCGUUCUCCUCAACCACCACCAAUACAACGCAUGGCGGCUCGAUUCCCGGCCCGGAUAGUGUUCAGGCUUCGCGGUCGGAACGACUUAUCCUUCCAGCUAAGUGUGGGGCAUGCGUUCAACAUGACAAGAGGGCCGUCAACGAUCGGUCCUUAAUCGACACAGGCAGGGGCACCAUGGUCAACCCACCAUAAGACCCUGCCCGGUCUCCAAAUUCAUUCCACACUUGGCUAUGCUUUUCCCCGAGCAACCAAUGCUUAAACAAGCAGGUAUCCACCUAUGUCUCGCAGGUGACAGGGAAUCACCCGACUUCUACCGAACUAAGCAAGCUAAGCAUAGACUCCGUGCCUAUCUACAUAGGACAAGGUAGUUGAAUGAGUAGGAAUAACAAGGAGUACUCAUGCAGCAACGGUAUCAGGCAACUCCUAUCACUUAAUAUGCACUAUAGUAGAACAAGUAUAGCACUUUAUAUAAGUUAGCGAGAAUAGGGAGACUUAGAAUGCUCCGGGGCUUGCCUUUCUCAAACGUGCUGGGUCGGUGAUCCGGACACUCUUGCAAUUCCUCUCCGGGUUCCUGUGCUUUCAGAGGAUCCUGCUCCUGUAUCUCCUCGGGUUCCUCGGGUCCCACUUCGUUCUCCUGCGAGCCUAUAUGAUGCAUAUAUGCUCAUGAGUGGAGUGUGAGAUGCCCGAGUGGAUGCUUGUAAGAGAGAGUGUCAAAGGAGUCAUGUUAUGAUGCAUAGGUGAUGCACUUGGUCACGCUUAUUACAAGGUAGUCAACAUCAUCCGGGAACAAUAACUAAAUUAAGCAUCUGUUGCAUUCUCUUCUACAGAUAUUUUUCAAAUGCAACCAGCAACCCCCAUGAUGCUUCAAAGAUACACCAAACCCAACUUAUUCCAUUCAACCUAUAUAUAUACACCCUUCAUAGUUUUCUUUAUUCAUUUCUAAGCCCAUUAAAAAUCAAAUGCAAUUCUGUUCAUCAAUAAAUUCGACAAAAAUUACAGGAGACUACCAGCUAAGCAUAAAGUCUACUGUAAAUUAUUCAUGAUUUUUGGAUACUUAUUUUGAGCCACAAAAAAAAAAUUACAAGAUUAAUUAAUAAGGCAAGUAAAAUCACUCUACUAGGAUACAAGUGUUAAACAACAGAUUUCAUAUUUUUACAAUUUGCAUAAUAUCAUAAGAAACACCCACAAAAUUUUCCAGAUUUAUUGCAUGACCCAAUUAAUUAUUAAAAAUCAUAAAUCACUGCCAUGCAAGCAUUUAAAUUACCAUAAAUUCAUUUAUACACCAAAUAAUAUGUACCCACUUUUUCCCAGUGAGCAAACACACAUGCAAAGCCAACAAAUCAAGUUUCACAUUUUUCUGAGCCAUAUUUUAUUUACUAUGCAUUUUCCAAGUUUAACAAAAUCAUGGAUAAAAUAUAUUCACACAGAAAAGUUACUCCAACAUGACAUGCAAUUACAUCAAACUGUAGAUCUGGAAAUAUAGAGCACACCCAAAUUUAUUUCAUUCAAUUUGGAGCUGUAGAACUCAAGAUAUAGAUUUUACAAACUUUAAAUCAAUUUCUGGAAAACACUUUUUCAAGAAAACCGACGAAAAAUGCUACGCACACCCAGAUCUACACCCACCGGGGUACCCCUGUGACUGACAGUGGGUCCCCGACCCCACCAGUCAGCGAGACCGAGAGGGAGCUCACCUCCGACGAGCGGAUCUCACUGGCGGUGAGGUCUCCGGCCAUGGGGUGAGCACCAACGUGCUCCCCGCAGCAAGACGCACCCAGCGGUACCCUUGGAUCGACCAGAGGACGGCCGGAACACCUUCGGCGAGCAUGCAUGGCGGCACGGCGGCGCUGCUCGCCGUGGCCAGGCUGCUCCGGCGCGGUAGAGCGUGCGCAAACGCCUCUCCGAGCUUCCUCACCUUCCUACCGACCUAGCGCAACAGAGAACGAGCGAAAAGAGGCAGGGAAACGCUAGAUCCGUCGCGGCGGAGUACUCCGGCGAGCUCGGGGUGACUCCGGCGAGCGAUUCACGGCGCUCGACGGACUCUCACCUUGGUAGAACGUUCGCACGAGCUUACCCUAGCGACGGCGACUGCCCUGGUGCUCUCGGCGUCGAGCUUGAGGCUCUGGUGUGGCCGGCGACGAGCGGCGGAGCUCUCUCCGGCAAUGGCGCGCGGGGGAGACAGAAUGGAGGGAGUGGCCUGGGAGCCUGCGUCGGCGUCCCGACCAGGGGGGGUUGGAGGCCGGCCGCGGCGCGCCCAACGCCGGCGUACCGCCGCCACGUGGCCGGCGCCGGGUGGAGCAAGGCGGGCACCGCACGCGCGGGAGAGAGAGGAGGGGGAGCGGGCCGCGCUGCCCAGCUGGGCCAGAAGGGAGGCGGGUCGGCCCAGCAGCGCCUGCCCCCUUUCUCUUUUUUUUUGAAAUUCUUUUCUCAAAUUCUUUCUAAAUUCAUUUGGACCAAUUUAAAAUCAUUUUCACCUCUUGCUCCCAAAAACAAAGUUGUUCCAAAACAAAAACUCUACAGCUUUGCCUUAACAAGCAAGACCAAAUUCCAAACAGAAUUUGAAUUACAAGUUAAAACUCAGUUCUAGGUUUUAAAUAAAUUCUUUUUGGAUAUUUUUGUAUAAAUUCCAUUUCUCAAAUUCCAUAGCUCCAAAAAUUGCACAAAAAUGUUCUUAAUUCUUCUUACACAUAAACCAACCUAGUUUGACUAUUUCAUAAUUUUUAAAGCAAGCAUCACAUUUUAACAUGUUUAAAACUCAUGAAAUGAUGCACAUAAAAUCAUACUUGAAGAGAAUGACAUGCUCAUGAUGCUUAUGAUUGAUGAGGAUGCUUAUGCAUUGCUUUGCCAAGGCUAAGUGCAUGCUUAACACCUAGGGUGUUACAGCCCUUCCCCCCUUAGGGAAAUCUCGUCCCGAGAUUUUGGGGUUACUAACCAUUUCUUAUGAAAUUUUGGAUAAACUGUUUUUAAGUAAUCCUCUGUUUCCCAAGUGGCAUCCCUAUCGUCAUGAUGACUCCACACCACUUUGUAUGUUCGAACAACUCUGUUUCGGGUUACUCGCUCCUUGGUAUCCACAAUCCCCACUGGCUGCUCUUUGUACUCUAGGUCUGCUUUUAUCUUGAUUCCUCGAGGUUCAAUUCUUUGCUCCGGUACUUUGAGACAUUUCCGCAGCUGAGACACAUGGAAGACCGGGAAGAUCGAGCUCAUCUCUUCAGGUAACUGAAUCUUGUAGGCCCCUGGGCCAUUCCUUUCUAGCACUGGGUAUGGUCCCACAUAUCGGGGUGCAAGCUUGCUUCGAACUCGGAAACGUUGAAUUUUCUUCAUUGGCGUAACCUUGAGAUACACAUAGUCGCCUACUUUGAACUCAAGCGGCCUUCUCCUCUUGUCAGCAUAACUCUUCUGUCGUGAUUGCGCUGCUUGCAUAUGUUGCUGUAUAAUCUGCACCUUUUUCUCGGCAUCAUUCACAAAGUCGAUACCAUAGUAUCUCCUUUCACCAGGUUCCACCCAGUUUAACGGAGUUCGACAUCUCCGCCCAUACAAAGCUUCGAACGGGGCCAUCUUGAUGCUCUCUUGAUAACUAUUAUUGUAUGAGAACUCAGCCAAAGGUAACCAUGAUUCUCACGAUCCCUUGGACGAUAGCACACAGGCCCUCAGCAUAUCUUCUAACACUUGGUUUAGCCUCUCUGUUUGGCCUGAAGUCUGGGGAUGAUACGCCGUGCUUCUUAUCAAACUGGUCCCCAAACUCUUAUGCAUGCGCUCCCAGAAGUGAGCAGUGAACUGCGGUCCUCUAUCCGAUAUGAUGGUUUUGGGGAUACCAUGCAACUUGACGAUCUCAGCCAUAUAUAUAUCAGCAUACUCGGGAGGUCUGUAUGUGUUCUUGACUGGAAUGAAAUGAGCCGACUUGGUUAAUCGAUCUAUGAUUACCCAAAUCGAGUCAUUCCCCUUCCUGGUUGUCGGUAAGCCGGUGAUAAAGUCCAUACUGACCUCUUCCCAUUUCCACUCCGGAACUGAUAACGGUUGUAACAGACCUGCAGGUUUCAUAUGGAUGGCCUUAACUCUGCAACACGUGUCACAACGGGCCACAUAAGCGGCUAUUUCUUUCUUCAUCUUGGUCCACCAAAAGUGGGGCCUUAGAUCUUGAUACAUUUUGCUGCUGCCAGGAUGAAUAGAAAGCUUAGAGGGAUGGGCUUCAUCCAUGAUGCGAUUCUUCAACUCCCGAUCUUUCGGGACCACUAACCGCUGUUGAAACCACAGUACCCCCUUCUCAUCAACCCGAAACUGAGUCUUUGGGUCAUCUUUGAUCUUCUCUUUGAUGUGGAAAAUACCCUUGUCUGUUUUCUGACCUUCAAUGACUUGACUCUCGAGUGAACAACUGAGUUGUAUAUGACAUAAGACCUCAGGAUGCAUAAGAUUGAACCCAUCUUCAAACAACGGUUGAACCAUUUGAUAGUGCGGUUUGCGACUCAAGGCAUCUGCGACCACAUUAGCUUUGCCUGGAUGAUAGUGAACUUCCAAAUCAUAAUCCUUGAUUAGCUCUAACCACCGUCGUUGCCUCAUAUUCAGCUCGGACUGAGUGAAGAUGUACUUCAAACUCUUGUGAUCGGUGUAAAUGUGACACUUAUUUCCUAGCAGAUAAUGUCUCCAGAUCUUCAAAGCAUGUACCACUGCUGCUAACUCAAGGUCGUGCGUUGGAUAGUUGACUUCAUGCUUUCUCAACAGUCGGGAAGCAUAAGCUAUCACCAUGCCAUCUUGCAUCAACACACACCCCAGGCCACUCUUCAAUGCGUCACAAAACACAUCAAAAGGCUUCUCUAUAUUAGGUUGUGCCAGAACGGGAGCAGUGGUUAGCAACUUUCGCAAGGUGCGGAAGGCUAACUCACACCCUUCCGUCCAGACAAACUUAUGGUCCUUUUGUAGCAAACUUGUCAUUGGCUUAGCAAUCUUGGAGAAGUCAGGUAUAAAACGACGAUAAUACCCGGCCAGACCAAGAAAACUUCUAACUUCCGAGACCGAAGUUGGUGCCUUCCAGUCCAUGACUUCCUGCACUUUUGAUGGAUCCACAGCAAUUCCUUCUUCAGACAGAAUGUGCCCUAGGAAAGGAACUUUCUUUAACCAGAACUCACACUUGCUGAACUUGGCAUAUAGCUGAUGCUCUCGUAACCGUGUCAGCACGAUUCUCAGAUGCUCGGCGUGAUCUUGCUCAUUUUCUGAAUACACCAGGAUAUCAUCGAUAAACACUACAACAAACUUAUCCAAUUCCGGCAUAAAGACUGAAUUCAUCACAUACAUAAAGUAUGCAGGAGCAUUUGUCAACCCAAAGGACAUGGCAAGAUACUCGUACAACCCAUACCUGGUGGAAAAAGCAGUCUUCGGGAUAUCUUGCGGACGAAUCUUGAUUUGGUGAUACCCAGAUCUCAAAUCUAUCUUAGAAAACACUCUUGCCUUGGAUAACUGAUCAAACAGGAUAUCAAUCCUUGGCAAGGGAUACUUAUUUUUGAUUGUCACUGCAUUGAGUGGACGAUAGUCCACGCACAUGCGCAAUGACUGAUCCUUCUUUUUCACAAACAACGCUGGACAACCCCAUUCCGACGAGCUUGGCCGGAUGAACCCUUUUUCUAGUAACUCCUUCAGUUGCUUCUUCAGCUCUGCGAGUUCGUUUGGUGGCAUCCGGUACGGCCUUCUAGAUAUUGGUGCUGUACCUGGUAUCAACUCGAUUGCAAACUCUACCUCCCUAUCUGGGGGAAGUCCUGGUAACUCCUCGGGAAACACAUCAGGGAACUCACAGACUACUGGAAUCUGUGGUAAAGGGACCACGUGCGUAGCACAGGAGAUGCUAGAAAAGUCAAGACGACGGGGCAGAGGUACUUGAAAAGAGUUACUGCCCUGUGGUUCUCUGAGAGAUAACAUCCUCUUUCCAGUAUCUAUGACAGCAUCCCAUUCUCUCAUCCAGUUCAUGCCCAUGAUAACAUCCAAAACUAACCCAGGCAUGACCACUAGAUUUACCCGAAAAACUCGGCCACUUACAUCCAGGGUUGCCCCUCGGACCACUCUAUUGGUCAACACAUCUGCCCCUGCUGAGCUGAUGCGGUAGCCAUAGCCCAGAUCUGUAACUGGUUGAUUAUGCUUUUGUGCAAAUGCUUGGCUCAUGAAUGAAUGCGAUGAUCCAGAAUCAAACAAAACAACUGCAAGAUGUUGGUUGACAGAAAACAUACCAGCUGUUACCGGUUCUCCUUCCGGGAUUUCCUCAAUCGAGGUAUGAUGCACACGAGCUGGAUAGGUUGGCUGCUGCCUUUUGGGGUAGGGACAUUCCUUAGCAAAGUGCCCCAUCUUGUGGCAGUUAUAGCACGAACCCUUGGGCGCAUUGUUGGCGGCAGGUGCUGCGGCUUGAAUUGCCUUUGGCUUGGCAGGAGCUAUCGCCACCUUGUACGGCUUCUGCUGGGUUGGAUGCCCGGUGUUCCUUCUCUGCAGUGGUCGGAACCUAGCACCCGGGGCAGGAGGACGAUACUGUUAUCGCCCUACCACUGGUGCCCUGGACUGGGAUGAUCCUGCUUCAAAAGCCCUUUUACGUGACUUGGAUGCACUGUAGUUGUUGUUAUUGUUCUCUUGGGUCAGACAGUCACUGAUAUAGGCAUUGAAAGUAGCCCUGGCCCCUGUACCCAUGGUCUUCAGCAUCUUUGGAUUCAAGCCUCUCUGGAAACUAGCAAUCUUCUUAGCCUCCGUGUUCACAAACUCAGGGGCAUAGCGAGCGAGAUUGUUGAAAGCGUGUAGAUACUCCUUCACAGACUUCGUCCCUUGGGACAGCCUCAUGAACUCCCCAACCUUCAUUUCAACCACACCAGGAGGAAUGUAAUUUCCCCGGAAAGCGGUGGUGAAGCGGUUCCAGGUGAUUGGUGUCCCCUCUGGGUAGGUGGUACGGUGAUGGGACCACCAAAUCCCAGCAGGUCCUUGCAACUGAUGUGCCGCAUACUCAGCCUUGAGUUCUUCUGUCAUUCGGAGAAGACGAAACUUCUGCUCCAUGGUGUUGAUCCACUCAUCUGCUUCGAGCGGUUCCAAGGCCUCCUUAAAGAUUGGUGGCUUGGUAUCCUUGAAGUCCUUGAAUGAACUGUACUGGUUGACCUCCCGGCCACCCUGAUUAUCUCCACGACGGGUGUUGUCAGCUAUGUUGCGCAAAGCUUCUUCCAUGUUGCGCUGCAUCUGUUCCACGUUGCGUUGGCUCCCCAGAAACUGCGCGAAAAACACAUCCGCAGUGUACGGGGGAGGUGGUGGUGGUGGUGUUGGUGCUCGGUCCUCAUUCCGUUGAGCCCCACCUCCGGAUGUACCUGCUCCAAGACCCGGAUUGCCGUUACCCCCGCCACGUGUUUGCACCAUCUGCAUACGCCAAUGAUAAGCAAUCGUUAGGAGUUGCUAUCAACCGGUAGAAAAUGUGUAAAAUCGUGCCAUACUGAAUUUACUGAGGGAAUAAAUUCACACAAUAAACAAAGGCACAACAACUCAUCAUCCACGCACAACAUCACUAACAGAUUACUUAACAUUCACGCAACAAGGUUCGCGUACAUCCAAUUUGCCAGCAUACAUACACUGGACUUUCAACAUAACUCGUAAGGUCUUACAUAGCUCAGAACCAAAGUACACGACAUGCCAUGCAACAUACAACACAAAAGGAGAAGGACUAGCUCUAGAGCCCUAGCAUCUAGUCGCUAUGAUCACUGUCCAUGCCAGAGCCAUCCUCAUCCUCGUCACCACUAGCAGCUGCUCCUAUCUCGGGAUCCGCGUCCAUCUCGUCCUCAGAGUCUAGCUCCGCUGCUCUAGGCAGGUGGUGAGGGUGGAGCUGGUUAUGCAGCUGGUGGAUCUCCUCAUGCAAGUUCUCAUUGUACUCCUCGGCAUUAGCUAGCUGCUGCUCUAGCUCCAGCUGUCGGGCCCUCAAAGUGUCCUCCUCGUGCCAGGCUUCAUUCCUCUGUCCAAGCACAUGGACUAGCAUGCGCUCGCAGUUCCUGUGAGCAGUGGUCACCCUGUCCUUCUGCUCCCGCACUGCAAGCAGGUCCUAACUCAGCUCACUGUUCUUCUGGACUGCCUGGUCUCUCUCUCUGGUCACACGAGCCAACUCUGCCUGUAGCCUCUCAACCUCAGAGUCAAACUCACGCUGCAACUGACGCUUCUCAUCCUGGACGGUGAGAAGAGACCCGGACAAGCGACCCAAACAACGCUCCAGGCCUCCAUAGGUCUUCAUCAACGCGUACAUGGCACUCAUAGCUGCACUGUCACUGUGCUGGUCCUCAUCCGCACUCCUCUCUAGAGCAUUCACCUCGGACUGAUCCCACACCGAAGUGUAAGGGUCACCCCGGGGAAACACCCCAGCGAUGGCGUGGGCCAGCUCCUGUGGAAACCUCUCCAUGAGGUCCCUCAAAACUGCGAAAGCUGCCCUGGUGGCACCGUGGAAAGGCGUGACACCUCGGGACUCGUACACCCAACCGCCCCAAGCAGGGUCUCCUCCACUGGUAGGGACAACUGCCUCGAUCCCCACCAGGGUCUCGUCACCAAGCGGCUCCUUAUCCCAAUAGUAGCGAGGCUCCCUUCCUUCGGGAUACCCCAUCGAACUGAGCACCCUCCAAAGCAAGGUGGGCAUCCCAAACUCCUCUAGGAACUUGCUCUUAUGUCGCGACCUCCUAGCUGCCAACGGACGGUGAGGGGCCCGCCCACCAGUGGACUUGCGAGCGGUGUGCCUAGUGCGUGCCAUCUGCUGCAAAUGGAAUACCGUGGGUAAGAGCGAGGAUUACCUUUAUUUAUUUCAUUUAAAAUUGGGACAGAUUAAAUUAAGGGGGAAAGUAAGCAAUGAUAUGAAAUACACAUGAUGCAUGUACGAACUUACGAUCUCACAAACUUAGAAAACAAAGGUUAACACUAAUCGGUAUACGCGGUGGCAUACAACGUUCGCUCAUAACGUAACUAGCGUUCUAAGCGAGAACGUGGUUAGGGUACCUGCAGAAAACUCAUUUCAGCCCACCCACAGUAUGAUCGUGCAGAACAAAAUUUAAAACUAUACACUUCACAUACACAGACACCCGUCCAUGCAUGUGACGUGUCACUACCCACAUCAUCGCCCUAAUGACGGCAUCGCCUCUCAGGACGGAAUUCCCAGCAUGCGGUACUGUUCCCAAGACACACCAACAUGUGUGCAUGACACAGCACCUGACAACACUUCCCUAGACCGGCAGUGUAUCCGAUCAUGCUCUCACAACUCCCACUUACCAUGGCGUAGAGGAAGAAUUGAUCCAUACAUUACCACUCAAAAUGAAUGGCACUCAUACUAUUGCACGCCGUAUGAGCAACGAAAUAAAAAUAUGAUGCAUUAACCCCCAAGUCAGUACUUAGCUAGCCACCUUAGAGUCCUUAACUGGGCAUAAAGGAUAUGACCAUGGCACACUAGAUAAUUUUCCCAAAACUUAGUUUAACACCUUGAUCAUUAUUAAUUAAUUAAUAAAAUCUUUUACUAAACCGGUUUAGACUUUUGUUUAAAACGUACUUAUGAACAGUAACUCGCUAAACCUUGCUCCGAUGCCAGCUGUAACAGAACCGACCAAAUUAUAAGAGAUUAAGCCUAAUAGUGACCAUUUGCAUAGUCGAACCAUCACGCUUAAGCCCAUAUAAUCCCGGUAGUCUGUGAAAUCUCGAAGGAUUUCAAACCACACAUCGCAUACAACCAAGAUCGUAAUAAGUUUAGCGGCCGCCAUCCAUAAGUACAUUCAGAUUUCAACAUUCAUGAAACACAUCGGAGUACUUAAGUUAUUACAAACCAAGUUCUUCAAGUAGCGGAAGCUUCAUAGUUCGAAAUUACAACACACACGAUAAGUCUGAUACCGUGCCAUAGUUUGGUCAUUCCCACAAAAGCAAAGGAAGAGACAGAGUGACCAUCGCCCUUGGUCUAGUCAUCACCCAUAGCUGGGUACAGAGAGAGGAUGCAAUAACCAUAGUACAUGUGACCAUCUGCAAAACAACAUGGGAAUAGAACCCUGAGUACGAGAAGGUACUCAGCUAGACUUACCCGCCAUAAACUUAAAAUAAAGACUCAUCAAGGAUCAUGAAGGCUAUUUAGUGGGGUAGCUGACAACCAUUUUGCAAAGACCGCAAGGUUUUAUUACCCUAACCUACAUAAAUCUUUUCUUCUUUUAAUCUGCUCAAGUUGAAAGUAUCAUUACCUAUUAUCUAGGUUUGCUCCUGUGCUAUUACAAGCAAGUAUGAGACUAUGAUAGUACCUCAUCAUAGCAUUUCUUAAACCAUUCAUCAUUAUAACCCGAGUGUUCCAUAGUCCUUACUACGAGGACGAAGCUCAUGUCAAGUGCUCACUAUCCAGGAGCGAUGGCGAUUCGAAUCGAUUUCUAACCAGCUGGUGAGGUAUUCCCCACACAAACCACACUCACUGAUCAAGUGAGCUACAGAUCACUGUAUUACACUAUCCAUGACCAAUUCGCGGGUUCGGCAGGCACCGCCAGUACCCGAGGACCGUUCCGGCGACCGAGGUAUCCAAGGUAUACCAAGGUUGCGCGCCGCGCCCUCGUCGUUCUCCUCAACCACCACCAAUACAGCGCAUGGCGGCUCGAUUCCCGGCCCGGAUAGUGUUCAGGCUUCGCGGUCCGAACGACUUAUCCUUCCAGCUAAGUGUGGGGCAUGCGUUCAACAUGACAAGAGGGCCGUCAACGAUCGGUCCUUAAUCGACACAGGCAGGGGCACCAUGGUCAACCCACCAUAAGACCCUGCCCGGUCUCCAAAUUCAUUCCACACUUGGUUAUGCUUUUCCCCGAGCAACCAAUGCUUAAACAAGCAGGUAUCCACCUAUGUCUCACAGGUGACAGGGAAUCACCCGACUUCUACUGAACUAAGCAAGCUAAGCAUAGACUCCGUGCCUAUCUACAUAGGACAAGGUAGUUGAAUGAGUAGGAAUAACAAGGAGUACUCAUGCAGCAACGGUAUCAGGCAACUCCUAUCAAUUAAUAUGCACUAUAGUAGAACAAGUAUAGCACUUUAUAUAAGUUAGCGAGAAUAGGGAGACUUAGAAUGCUCCAGGGCUUGCCUUUCUCAAACGUGCUGGGUCGGUGAUCCGAACACUCUUGCAAUUCCUCUCCGGGUUCCUAUGCUUCCGGAGGUUCCUGCUCCUGUAUCUCCUCGGGUUCCUCGGGUCCCACUUCGUUCUCCUGCGAGCCUGUAUGAUGCAUAUAUGCUCAUGAGUGGAGUGUGAGAUGCCCAAGUGGAUGCUUGUAAGAGAGAGUGUCAAAGGAGUCAUGUUAUGAUGCAUAGGUGAUGCACUUGGUCAUGCUUAUUACAAGGUAGUCAACAUCAUCCGGGAACAAUAACUAAAUUAAGCAUCUGUUGCAUUCUCUUCUACAGAUAUUUUUCAAAUGCAACCAGCAACCCCCAUGAUGCUUCAAAGAUACACCAAACCCAACUUAUUCCAUUCAACCUAUAUAUAUACACCCUUCAUAGUUUUCUUUAUUCAUUUCUAAGCCCAUUAAAAAUCAAAUGCAAUUCUGUUCAUCAAUAAAUUCCACAAAAAUUACAGGAGACUACCAGCUAAGCAUAAAGUCUACUGUAAAUUAUUCAUGAUUUUUGGAUACUUAUUUUGAGCCACAAAAAAAAAUUACAAGAUUAAUUAAUAAGGCAAGUAAAAUCACUCUACCGGGAUACAAGUGUUAAACAACAGAUUUCAUAUUUUUACAAUUUGCAUAAUAUCAUAAGAAACACCCACAAAAUUUUCCAGAUUUAUUGCAUGACCCAAUUAAUUAUUAAAAAUGAUAAAUCACUGCCAUGCAAGCAUUUAAAUUACCAUAAAUUCAUUUAUACACCAAAUAAUAUGUACCCACUUUUUCCCAGUGAGCAAACACACAUGCAAAGCCAACAAAUCAAGUUUCACAUUUUUCUGAGCCAUAUUUUAUUUACUAUGCAUUUUCCAAUUUUAACAAAAUCAUGGAUAAAAUAUAUUCAUACAGAAAAGUUACUCCAACAUGACAUGCAAUUACAUCAAACUGUAGAUCUGGAAAUAUAGAGCACACCCAAAUUUAUUUCAUUCAAUUUGGAGCUGUAGAACUCAAGAUAUAGAUUUUACAAACUUUAAAUCAAUUUCUGGAAAACACUUUUUCAAGAAAACCGACGAAAAAUGCUACGCACACCCAGAUCUACACCCACCGGGGUACCCCUGCGACUGACAGUGGGUCCCCGACCCCACCAGUCAGCGAGACCGAGAGAGAGCUCACCUCCGACGAGCGGAUCUCACCGGCGGUGAGGUCUCCGGCCAUGGGGUGAGCACCAACGUGCUCCCCGCAGCAAGACGCACCCAGCGGUACCCUUGGAUCGACCAGAGGACGGCCGGAACACCUCCGGCGAGCAUGCAUGGUGGCACGACGGCGCUGCUCGCCGUGGCCAGGCUGCUCCGGCGCGGUAGAGCGUGCGCAAACGCCUCUCCGAGCUUCCUCACCUUCCUACCGACCUAGCGCAACAGAGAACGAGCGAAAAGAGGCAGGGAAACGCUAGAUCCGUCGCGGCGGAGUACUCCGGCGAGCUCGGGGUGACUCCGGCGAGCGAUUCACGGCGCUCGACGGACUCUCACAUCGGUAGAACGUUCGCACGAGCUUACCCUAGCGACGGCGAGUGCCCUGGUGCUCUCGGCGUCGAGCUUGAGGCUCUGGUGUGGCCGACGACGAGCGGCGGAGCUCUCUCCGGCAAUGGCGCGCGGAGGAGCGGCUGCUGCUGCGCGGUGCGAGCGGAGGAGGAAGGAGAAGGAGGGCGCAGGGGAGACAGAAUGGAGGGAGUGGCCUGGGAGCCUGCGCCGGCGUCCCGACCAGGGGGGGUUGGAGGCCGGCCGCGGCGCGCCCGCCGGCGUACGGCCGCCACGUGGCCGGCGCCGGGUGGAGCAAGGCGGGCGCCACGCGCGCGGGAGAGAGAGGAUGGGGAGCGGGCCGCGCUGCCCAGCUGGGCCAGAAGGGAGGCGGGUCGGCCCAGCAGCGCCUGCCCCCUUUCUCUUUUUUUUUUUUGAAAUUCUUUUCUCAAAUUCUUUCUAAAUUCAUUUGGACCAAUUUAAAAUCAUUUUCACCUCUUGCUCCCAAAAACAAAGUUGUUCCAAAACAAAAACUCUACAGCUUUGCCUUAACAAGCAAGACCAAAUUCCAAACAGAAUUUGAAUUACAAGUUAAAACUCAGUUCUAGGUUUUAAAGAAAUUCUUUUUGGAUAUUUUUGUAUAAAUUCCAUUUCUCAAAUUCCAUAGCUCCAAAAAUUGCACAAAAAUGUUCUUAAUUCUUCUUACACAUAACCCAACCUAGUUUGACUAUUUCACAAUUUUUAAAGCAAGCAUCACAUUUUAACGUGUUUAAAACUCAUGAAAUGAUGCACAUAAAAUCAUACUUGAAGAGAAUGACAUGCUCAUGAUGCUUAUGAUUGAUGAGGAUGCUUAUGCAUUGCUUUGCCAAGGCUAAGUGCAUGCUUAACACCUAGGGUGUUACAGUCUAGAUCUUGAUUUCAUUUGGAUCCUUUUCUUUAUUUAUUUGAUAAUUAAAUUUGAUACUUAAGGACCGUCAACAAACUCCCCCAAGCUUACCUUUGCUCGUCCCUGAGCAAGGAUAGACUUAGCUAUGGAUCAUAAGUUGCUGCAAUAUAUUUUUUAAAAAAAAUUGGCGGUACACAUGCUUUUAAAUAAGAUCUCAUCUCUGAGUUAGAGUAAACUGUCAAGACUUAAAACUUACUUACUUUACCUCCACCAUGGGACUUGUAACUGUCACUUCUGUCUUGAGUGGUUAAAAGAUAGAACAGUCUAGCCAAGUGCCAUGUCUCUUAUUCUUGAUCAGCUAUAGCUCUGGGAUUUUUGCAGAUUUUCAAAUAAAACUCAGAUAUUCCUUGUAUGAUUCUGUCAGGUCUCUCUUUUGUGGUAUUUCUGGAUCCUUACCAAGGCAUUGAUGGUAUAUGCCUUCUCUCAAGAUAUGUGGUAUUUGUGGUAUGAGGCAUAGUGAUAUUGCCUUCUCUCUCACCCUACUCUAAUAAGGCAUUAAUAUCUGGAGCUCAUAGGUGGGAGAUAAAGUAUACAUACUUACAAGACAUUUAUUGCAUAGUCAAACCAUGGAUCCAAAGUAACAAGUCAAUAAGUUUAAUCAAGAUGUGCAUGUGUGGCGAAUGAAUGGUAUAUGGUGAUGAUGGUGAUAACAAUGGUGAAAACAAUGGUGGUGGAAGUCUAAUUCUACUUUGCUCUUUUGAGGGGGAUACAUACCUUCCUUGCUUUUGAAACUUUAUGAGAAGAAUGAGAUGCUCUUCUUUUUCUUUUCUCUCAGGUGGGUAUCUUGCACCCCUAAUUCUACUGUCGGACACUUGUCCAUUUUUACCUCUCAUCUCACUUUUUUCUUUUCUUUCGAGGUUCCAAGCACUUGCUCCUUUUUAUUUCCUCGUAUUAUUUUCUCUUCUUUUUUUUAGAGCACUCAUCUCUUGAGAUAAUAUAGCAAAUGGUAGUAACAAGAUAACUUGAGCAUUUAUUUCAAAAGGGAAAACAAAAAAUAUUUUUGGUUAUUCUCUCCUGGAUUAGGAGUAGAAUAUUUUUGGGUGAUUCUGGAGAUGGAAUGGGUGGAUAUAUGUGGAUGGUACUUCCGGAAUAGAAGUAGCAUAUAUGAGUGAACGUGCAAGUGAAAUCUUGAUUUAACCACAUGACAAGCUCCUAAGGGUCUACACAGCUUGACCACACUCAAUGCUCAUAAGCAGUAAAUAAUAAAUGUGUGGCUCAAAGUCUAGCAAGCAUGUAUAUAUGGCUGUGGUAGGAAUUUAAGCUCUCAUCAUACAGGAACUCAUCAUGCAACAUUUUAAAGAUUUUCAAAGAUAAAAUUCUCCAGAAUUCUAGCAUCUCUAGGAACAGAUAAACAGCAGCUCAACCUUCCCAUAUCGUAUCCGUUAACAACUUAGACUUCAGAUCAAGUUUUCAUCCCACAAGUUUAGGUCUAGAGCAAGCUUUAAAUUAUAACUGUUAUGUCUAAACUUAAGAGAGAACUUAAAAUUUGCAAAUUAGGCAGAGCAACUUUUCAUCAUAUCCAUGCUUAAGUUUUAUUUAGAUACAGAUUAGCAUAGCCACUUUAUUUAUUUAUUAAACACACUAAGCAAAAGACAUAUAUAUAUAUAAGCAUAAAAUCUUUAUUUGGUUUUCCCAUAGUUUAUGUGUAUUUUAAUAUUCUAAAAUAAUAUAAGUAUAAAGAUAGAUAGAAAUACUUAUCGAGAUAAAUGGGGGUGCUCUCCCCCAAGCUGAAUUUUGACGUAAUUUCUCUUGAUGUAGCUAGCAGGUGGCAGAGGUGUAGUUGAAAGUCAGCAGCAUUCUGACAGCGAUUAGAAUGUCCUCCGUCUGCUAGUCUUCUUGAAUUAUGUGGAGCUCAAAUAGACAACAAAGCUUGUGGAACUGAUUAAGUGUUAGCAUAAAUAUAUAGCCUUCAUCAUCUUGAGACUCCUUAAUAAUUAUUACUCCCUGUUUUUAUAUUUUUAUUUUAUAAAGCAGAAAAAUAUUUAUUUUAUUUUUAUGCCACCACAGUGAAUGUACGUAUGAGUUUUAUGUCACUCGUAUACUCACAUGGGGCUUACUGUUUUUCAUAUUUUUAUUUUCUUUUUUAGGAUAGCAUGAACAUGUUUAACUAAAUAAUCUAUUUGAAGUAAGUGAAAGAAAGGAUAACUACCAAGUUUACCUCUUGGCAAGGCGUUCGGUGUUUUUAAGUCCUCCGAACGGGACUCUCCAAUUUCUUAAUCGUCCUGAGGUUCGUUGGGUGGCGUAGUCGGUACUUCCGGCAGCGCCUCCUCUUCUUGUAUAGUUAUCUUCAUUUUCCAUACCUGACUCGGUGCUUCAAUCUCCUCUGGAUAAUUCUGUUUAAACUCUACGUCUUCUGACCUUACAGCUUCUCCUUCAUAGUCUGCCCAUCCGUCCUUGAUGAUCUGCCUCCUCUGGUUGCGGUUGCGUCUCUUUCUGACCUGCUUAGAUUCUUCAACAAUAUAGUUAGGGUCAGUAAAAUAACGGCGUACCUUCUCUGAGGGGAAGUGCAUAUGGACUUCUCCAGUUCCAAUGUAGAUAAUUGCUUUAACGGUGCUGAGGAACGGCCUUCCAAGGAUGAUGGGUGGAUCAUACUCGUCUUCUCCCAUAUCAACAACUUGAAAGUCUGUGUAGAAAAAGUGAUCGUCUAUUUUGACUGGGACAUCAGAUAAUAUUCCUUGAACUUCUCGAAAUGUCUGAUCUGCCAUCUGGAGCUGAAUGUAUGUUGGUCUUAGUGGCAUGGUCCCGAACAAGAGCCGAUAGGUGACUGCGGCCAUUAUGUUGACGCCUGAUCCGGUGUCGCAAAUCGUCUUGUAGAAGUUGUAUCCAUUUAUGGAGCAGUAAAUGCUUGGUAUUCCUGGGUCGUCCUUCUUAGUCAAAAACGGUGACUUCAGUCGGUGAUCUUGGCCUCCAUGGACUUCAGUGACCAUCUUAGCUGACUCGGUCCACACUUGCUUGUUCCUGUUCCUCCUGUUGGUCCUCUUCCUUGAUUCACGUCUGGAUUGAUUUGGAAUUUGUGUAGUCUUGUUCUUGAAGAAAAAUGUUUCCUUCUUCCCUUUGACGUAGAAACUGAUCUUGGCAGCACUGGCGUAGAUGAUAGCUCCCGUGGUGUUCAAGAAUGGCCUCCCUAAGAUGAUAGGUGCUCUCUCAUCAUUUCCGGUCUCUACCACUACGAAGUCUGCUGGUGCAUACAAGGUACCAACUCAGACACAAAGGUUCCUCACUAUUCCUUUUGGAAAAGUUAUCGUCUGAUCUGCAAACUGCAAACACAUGGUUGUCUCUAAUAAAGGAUAUGUAAAGAAUUUUUCAUAGAGUACCCUGGGUAUAAUGUUGACGCUAGAGCCAAAGUCACAGAGUGCUUCUGGGAAGUCCACCAUGCCGAUGGAGAUCGGGAUGACGGGGCGUCCU
rnacentral:lncRNA from 1 species